AAAGACAAACCUAAAUGGGCAUGAUGAAGAAGCAAAAUUCGGAUUUUUUCAUCAUAAACCAAUAUUCAAGAAACAUAUUCCAAUUCCAGUAUAUAAACCUGUACCAAAGCCAUUUCCAGUGUAUAAACCUAUACCAAAGCCAGUUCCAGUUCCAGUGUACAAGCCUAUUCCAAAGCCAGUGUAUAAGCCUAUUCCAAAGCCAGUUCCAGUGUACAAGCCUAUACCAAAGCCAGUUCCAGUUCCAGUGUAUAAGCCUAUUCCAAAGCCAGUGUACAAGCCUAUUCCGAAGCCAGUGUAUAAGCCUAUUCCAAAGCCAGUUCCAGUGUACAAGCCUAUACCAAAGCCAGUUCCAGUUCCAGUGUAUAAGCCUAUUCCAAAGCCAGUGUACAAGCCUAUUCCGAAGCCAGUGUAUAAGCCUAUUCCAAAGCCAGUUCCAGUGUAUAAGCCUAUUCCAAAGCCAGUUCCAGUGUAUAAGCCUAUUCCAAAACCAGUGUACAAGCCUAUUCCAAAGCCAGUUCCCGUGUAUAAGCCUAUACCAAAGCCAGUUCCCAUUUAUAAGCCAAUUCCCAUUUUUAAGCCAAUACCGAAACCAGUUCCCAUUUAUAAGCCAAUUCCCAUUUUUAAGCCAGUACCGAAACCAGUUCCCAUUUAUAAGCCAAUUCCAAUUUUUAAGCCAGUACCAACACCAAUUCCUUUUUUUAAGCCUAUACCAAAGCCUGUUCCUAUUGUUAAACCUAUUCCUAUUCCAGUUUUUAAACCCAUACCUAAACCAUUUCCAAUUGUUAAACCUAUCCCUUAAGCCAAAGUCAUUUUUUAAGCCAGAGACUUUCUUCAGAAAACCUAUUCCUAAACUUCACCCAAAUCUGAUAAAGCACGGUCUUCUACAUUUUCCAAUUCACAAUACAAUUCCUACAAUUUCAACUCCAUAAGAUGAUUUGGCCGUGUCCUAUAAAAUUAUUGUACUUAGAACGUUAUCCCAUUCUAUUUCCAAUAUAGCUACGUUUGUUCUAAAACAUCAACGGGGUUUCUGUAGAAAUCCUAUCGUACUCUUGUGCAUUGUAUUAGAAUAUAUGCAGUUCAUUUGCCUCAAUAAUCUUCUCAGCAUUGCCGUUGUAAAUUGAUUUGUAUGUAUUAUUCCAAGAAUAGAACUAAUUCUCUAUUUUUGGUUUAAAUAAUAUUUGUAUUUCCUUUCAAUAUUUUGUAUUACUCCAUUUUCAGCAGGGCUCCACGUACAAAACUAACCCUAAACUAACCUUGAUUAAGGAAUUAAAAGAAAACAAUGUGUAAAUCAUAGAAAAACACAAAAAGAAAAAAUUUGGGAAACGUAAUUUGUAGUCUUCUAAUAAUUUUUUUAUAUUCUUAAAUAGUCCUUAAUUAGUAUUCUUAGGACACUUGUUAACAUUUGUAAAAAAAAAAAAUUAACUUGCAAAAGUUUUGAUGUUUAAAAAGAAAAAAAUGACCUCCUGGAAGUGAUCCAUAUUAACUUCUUAUUACAAGUUACACAGCAUAAACUAAUAUAUGUACGAAUUGAUGGAAAUCGACAAUCGUGAUGUUUGUGAUAAUGUUUUAAAUUUUCAUUUUAACAUUUAGCACCGUCUAUUUUAUGUACAGAAAUGUGGACUCAAUUUCUGAUUUCAGCUUUCACCAUUUCGUUUGUUUUAUUUGUGAACGAUAUGUUGAAAGAGAAAGUAAAAGUAUCCCACCAACUUACCCUAGUUCUUAGUAAUCAUUGGUUACGUAAUGCAGGAUGAAAUCUGCUCUCAUACAUGUGUUGAUCAACUUUAACGAAAUUAAACUAUAUAUAUCUCGAGUAUGUAAAUGAAUGGCAAUCGUAAUAAUUUGUAAUAUAUUUGAAUACACAAGAUUUAUUUUAUUUAACAAUCAUGCAUAUAUCUCUUUUUUUAAAGGCAAAACCAUGAAUUAUUAUAAAUAAAAGGCCACAAUGUGUGACUCAAAACAGAUUGCACGACAAAGAUAAGGAAAGCCAAAAAAGUCCUAACAGACCAUCUGCAGUCCAUAGGAUAUGGACUAUUACACCAAUUGGCAAAAGCAACACCACUAGCAAAAGGAUUCUUAUAUCUAAUCCAUGUCCACGAGAUUCCCUAAAUAUGCAACAGAACUGAAGAGAAAUGAGCAGCCUGAUUUUGAAAAAUGACCUUUUUCUUAGCCAAAUGCAUUCUGUUAAUUUAAACACUAUCAAUAUUUUUUAUUUCUUUUUUCUCAUCACAUUAUAAAUCCUAUUAAGUCUAUAUUUUUUUUUGCUCUCAAGGUGUUCAAUGGGUGAUAGGGAUACUGCUCGUCAUGUACCAUUUUUCUUCCACCAAAUAGAAAUCCAGGCUGCACGUAAUGUUGCUGAAGAUCAUAAUGCUGCACCAUAGCAAACACCCAACCACUUAUAAAUUGCAUUACAUAAUUGAUAGAAAAUUUACAACUUAAAAAUAAAUGAGAGAUCGUUUCACCACCUGAAUCCACGAUCCCCCCCCGCAUCAAUGCAUCACGGGUUGGCAAACGUCCAAGGAGCAGCCUUCCAGGAAAAAACCAGAAUUUGAGGGAGAUGAAGUGAUGAUGGAUCUAAUUAAGACCCGAGGUGAGUGAGGAAAAGUUAUUUUGAAAAUAAUUUUAAUGCAUAAAAAUGAGAAAGGGGUUCAAACAUAUAAAAAGGUGUAAAAUAUAAAAUUUUAAGAUAAAUAUGUAAGACUUUAUUAAAAUAAGUAUGUAUAUUUAUUUAUCAUCAUAUGAAAAAUAUGUCAAAGAGUUGAAAUACAUAAAAUUAAGAGUGCAAAAUAUAAUUUUAAAAAAAUAAUGUGAAUUUAUUAAAAUGAGAGAGUAAAUUUGCCCAUCCUCAAUCAAACAUAGUACGCCAGUGGGGACAUAUAGACUUCCAAAAUGUGUUGAGCAAAUUAUCUAGAUUGUGUAAAUCGGGACCAGGAGAGGAGCAGAAGACUUUAUAAACAGAAGCUACUAGGAAAAAAAGGAGAACUCAUGCCUCCCCAUUUCCAUGAUGAAAUCUCGAGAAUCCUAUGUAAUAAGUUUUUAUUAUUAUAAGUUGCGAUUAAUUCCUUAUUAGUGGUAUGUAUGUUUUAGACUUGGAAAGUCAUCUUUGACUAAAGUGCUUCUUCAGUUUUGGAGUUGAAAGAUCAAAUAUUCAAUGACAUCAAUGGGUGAUAAUGACUACUAAAUGCAUUCAUGAUGGUAUAAUAUCUAUAUAUAGCACAUGUGUUUGAUCCCUGAACCCAUAUCUUUCAUUUCGUUUGAUAUACCAUCUACAAAGAGAGUGAGAGUUUGAAAGAACUAAAACAAAGUAGCUCUUUCAUGACAAUGAUUGAAGGUAUAUUUUGAUUUUGUUUUCUACAUUUCUUAUUGACUUAUGUUUAGUUUUGUUGUUUGUAAUAUCACAGGUUUGUUAUUUUAGUCUUUCAGUUGGUAUCAGAGUCUCAGUUACCUCUGCCAUGUUCAUUUUUGAUUUUCAGUAUUGUUGGUGUUUAGAGCCUUGUUUGUUACAAAUAAGAUUAGAAAUAAUCUUUAUUUUAAUUGAUUUCUUUAUUUUUUGGGUUUUGAAUCGUGUAAAACGGUACCUAAAUGAGUGAAAAUCGAUCGGGUCUGUAUGUGGGUUGAUUGACCUUCUAGAGGUUGAAGACGAUGAACAAUUAUUUUCUAUUCGCUUAAAAAAAGAAGGGUAAACAGACCAUGUCGGCACUGUCUGGGUCUAGAACUAGUGACCUUUAGUUUAAGGGAUGUCAUGUGAGUCAUUGGGCCGUUUAAGGUUCUUUCCUAUUUAUUCAUUUCCCGUAUCUUAUAUGCUUAUACGAUUCUGUUUACUUUUGUAAUUUGUGCAGUUUUGAUUUGUUUUAUGCAUGAAUACAUUCUAGAAAUGUUUAUUUUGAGCAUAUAUAUAUAUAUAUAUAUAUAUAUAUAUAUAUAUAUAUAUAUAUAUAUAUAAUCAAAUGCAUAAUAUUAUAUUUCAAUUAUGCAAUUGUAUAUGAGAAUUUUAUUCAUCAUUGUAUUAUAUCUUGAUCUUGACGUGCUUUAAAUAAUUUAUUUUCACAUGAUUAAAUUUUAUGUCUAAGUGAUCUUUAUAAUUUUGAUUAACUAUGGAUUAGCCACAACAUCUAUAAUUUGAUUAAAAUUAUAUAUUGAGUUGUUUAAAGAUCAUAUAAGGAAUUAAGCAUAAUAUUAUGAUUAAUUGUACUUUAUAUAUUGAAUUUUAUCCCAUAGGAAUUUUUAUUAUAUUUGUAUGGUUAAUUUAGAUAAAAUAUCAUAUUAUUUUUCAUGGUUUACCCACAGGGAUCAUGAGGUGAUUUAUAAUUUGGUUGUUUUAUCAUAAAGUAAAUAUUUGCAAUAGAAAAUCGAAUUAUUUUCAUGUUGGACCCGUAAAGCUUGAACUUGAAUAUGUAAUUUGAUUAUUCUAUCAUAAAGUCUAAUUGUAUCUUAUUGGAUUAAAAAUUUAACCCACAAACAAUUUUUAUGUCAUAAGAUUCAAGUUUCUAGUAUGUUUACAUUGUAAAACUUACAAAUAAGAUUAAUAUGCCUCAAAUUUUGACGUAAGCCUUUGGAUUUUUGCAGCUUCUCAAAUUGUUGAUGUUUUUUAUAUUCAAUGUGAUGUUCCUCAACUCAAAGGAGAUAACUAUAAGAUAUGGAAGGAGAAAAUUCUUCUACAAUUAGGGUGGAUGGAUAUAGAUUAUGCUAUAAGGAAAGACAAAUCACUUGCAAUCACUAAUGAAAGUAGCCCAACUGUUGUUGCGCUAUAUGAGCAGUGAGAGUGAUCCAACUGGCUCAGUGUGAUGUUCAUUAAGACCAAAAUCUCGGCUAGGAUAUGUGGUUCUGUCGACUAGCAUAAAAAGGUCUGAGACUUGCUUAAGGCUAUUGAUGAUCAGUUCAUCACUCAGUUAAGGCUUUAGUAAGUACCCUUAUCAUGAAGUUCUCCUUUCUCUGGCUCACUAGUGUGAAAGAUGUGUGUGAGUAAAAAUGAAAAUGUGAAAUAUUUCAACUCAACUUAAGAAACUGGAGGUUGAUAUGUCAGAGUCCUUCCUGAUGCACUUCAUUCUAAACACCUUUCCAUUGGAAUAGGGGUCGUUUAAGAUUUUCUACAACACACAUAAGGACAAAUGGUCUAUUAAUGAAUUAAUGAUCUUGUGUGUUCAAGAAGAAAAAAAGCUUGUAAUGGAGAUGAGUGAGAGUGCAUUGCUGGCAACUGCUUGUGGGAAGGACAAAGCUACUAAGUAUCAAGCUAAUAAGAAGGGGAAUGGUAGAAUACCACCUCAAACUGAUAUUAAGAAGGUGACAAAGUGUUUCUUUUGUAAAAAGAAGGGACACAUGAAGAAGAAUUGCCUUAGAUUUCAAAAAUGACUUGAAAAGAAAGGUAAAUCAAUCUCAUUAGUAUGUUAUGAAUCUAAUAUGACUUGUGUUAAUAUUACGCAUGUGUUUGGUCCUUGAGCUCAUAUCUUUCAUUUUCGUCUGAUACACCAUCUACAGAGAAAGUGAAAGCUUGGAAGAACCCAAACAAAACAACUCUUUCAUGACAAUGACUGGAGGUAUAUUUUGAUUCUAUUUUCCGCCACUCCAAGAAAAAUCAUUAUUUCUGACAGAAUAUUUCCCAUGGAAAAUAUUCCUUCAAAAAUUUUUAUUUUACCACGAAAUUUACUGAAGGAAAAAUUUCCGUUGGAAAUGUUUAGAAAAUCGAUAGAUCUUAUUGACGGUCAAUUUUUUCGUCAAAAAAUUAAUAUUUUCGAAGGAUUAUUCCGAUGGAAUAGAGAUCCGUCAGAAACUAAAAAUUUGAUAACAAAGCACGAGAACCCUAGCUGUUUCAGUGUUUCAUUUUUUUGCUUUCUUCUCCCGCUCGUCCCCCAUUUGUGCCUUUCAUGAAGACCAACUAAGAAGCAUUUCAUUGUUGAUUUUCGUAUUUGGUUUGUAAUUUCAAUUUCGCAUUCUUCUCCCCCUGACCGUAAUUGUUGUUGGUUUUCCCUCUAUUGCAGUGACACUCGUCUGUGUCGAGGAAAAGUCACCUUCACGACCUCUAACGGUGUCGUUCCGACGUUCUGUGUCAAUUCACCUCUCACAGGUAUCAUUCGUGUGUCCGCUCUCGCAUUCUGUUUGGCUCAUUCGCGUGUUGCAUUCGCCUCUCACAAUAUGUGAUUAUUGCUUUUUUGAGUGAAAGAAACCUUCAAUUCUUCAAUUAAAAAUGAUAAUCCUCCACAAGGAAAACAAGAAUGACAAGUUCAUUAUGUUGAUAUGAAGAUUUAUGAAGUAGGGAUUAUAAAGUUGUAUUUUAAAGUUGACAAAUUGAAAAUGCUCGUAUGAUGUUUGAAGAAAAUCCAGACCCAAUUGUUGGUGGUUCUCAUCAUCUUCUGUGCUAUGGGUUUUGUUUUUUUCAUUAUACUGUAAUUGAUGUCUGUUUUAUAUGAUGUUUGUUGGUCACAUUGUGUCUACUGAUUGAGUAUAACUAUAGAAUGACUACAUUCUUGUUCUACUUUGGUCAUUUACCUCAUUUUCUUUGUCUGCAUCAUUGUUGGAUAAUAUUAGACCCACUUACCUUGUGUCUACCUCUGAAUGUGUCAAUAAGUAACACCUUAUUUUCUCUCCAACUAUUCAUUAUUUUGUUUUCCAUUUGAAAUUUUUUUGGUGGCCAAUUGAAUUAAGGUCCUGGACUGGUUUUUGGAAAUCCGCCCAAACAACACAAAUACUUCAUUAAUAUUCUUUAUUUGUUUUUAUCUCACUUAGCUUUAUAAUAUCAGUGACAUUAGCAAUAAUAUUAAUAGCUUAUUUCUCCUCUCUUUCUACUUCUCGAUGGCUAUUUAUUCCCCUUACGUGUGUAAGGAUUUCUCCAUAAACAAAAUUGCAUUUGCUCGUGAACAGACAAAAUCACAAAAUCUGAGCAAUUGUAUUCAACUUUUUUGCCAGGCUAAGCUAUGUCCUAGUGAUGUUUGAUAAAUAUAGCAAGAGCAAGUGGUUCUGAAAGGAUGAAACAAAAAUAUUCUUGUAAACCAAACAAAAACUUAGAAGAUGUGUUGAAUACUUAUCAAAACCUAUCAAUAACAUAGCAAACUGACUCAAAAGAUAGAUUUUAUUUAGUGGCCACAAAUGUGAGAAACCAACAUUUAAAGGAUUUACCGUAUGGUUCGAUGAGUUACGUUAAAGAAUGACACACAUACUUUGUCAAUGGGUACAAAUUCCAUACCCAAGCAUGGACUUCUGGGAAGCAAACAAUAAAUAGUGGGGUUCACGUAAAAGGCCUUAUAGAAGAAGACACAUAUGAUUUUUAUGGGGUCAUUCAACAUAUAUAUGAGUUAGAGUAUAAUACUACGAGCUAUCCUAAGCGAGUAGUAUUAUUUUAUCGUCAUUGGUUUGAUCCAACGAGUAGAGGAACAAGAGUUGAUCCUAAAUAUGGCACGGUAGAAAUUCGAAUGGAUAGAAGUUAUAAUUUGUUUGACCCAUUCAUUAGUGCACAUAGUGUAAGGCAAGUGUAUUAUAUGCCAUAUCCAACAACAAGAAGGGACAAGCGUGGUUGGUGUGUUGAUUAAAACAAAGCAAAGGGGUUACAUAGAAUCAAAUCAUGUACAAGAUGAUGUGCCUUACCAAGUUGAGGAAAUGUCACAUGUCAACAAAGUCAUUGAAGUUGAAAGUAUUUCUGGAUUGCAAGAUUUAAGAGGUGGUGUUGAAGAAGUAGACAUUCCUAAUUUGUUGACAAAUGAAGGGGAAUCAGAAGACAAUGAAGGAGAAUUAGAAGAUGACUUUGAAGUUUAUAAUUCUGAAGAGGAUUAGACAUUGAUGUUUGUUAGUCAGUUAUAAUAUUUGUUAUUAGUGACAUGUUUGUUUUCUUCUAAUACUUCAAAACUUUGUUGGUGUAUUUUAUUUUUGUUGUGAUAUGAAAGUUUGUUAGUUAUCUAAUUUUCAUUUACCCCAAUAUUCUGUUUGAGUGUUUAUGUUAUUAUAUUAUUUUUGUAUAUAUAGAUAUGUCAUCAGGUGGUGCUGACCCUCCCCGACCCCCGUCACAUCACUCCAGUGGGAAAAGGACAACUGCGAAGAAAAGAUGAUAUGUGGUUAGACUAUUACUGCGUCGAGGUAGUCUACUAUCAUCUACCACAUCCCCAUCUUCUGUGUCUAUGCCAGUUAGGCCUCCUGAUGUUGCACCUACACCAUCUCCACCUCCGACUGAAGCUAGACAAUCUCCAUCUGAUGUUAAUGCACGUGGACUGUCCCCGAUACUUGCAUUCACACCAUUUCCAUCAUUGGUGGAAGCACGUGGACCAUCCUCGGUACUUACAUCCACACCUUCCCCAUCCCCAUUUGUAGCCAACAUGCCUACGGAUGAAGAUGCUACAAAUUUGGUGAUGGAAGACCCCCCCCCCCUUAAUGAUCGCCCUACGGUUACGCUAACCAAUGGAGCGUAAGUAUUACAAAAUUUAUAUAAUUAUCAUUAUAUAUGAUAGAUCAUAUGAUCUUUUACUAUUUUGAUUAAUUAUUUUUUAUAUUUAGGUUUCAUCCAUCUAAGGUUGCGGCAAAGACUGUCACUUUGUCCAUUAGGCAACAAUUUGGUCAGCCUUGGCCUACAUGGGGAGCGAUUCCAAAAGAUCAUUAGGAACUUUUUCCCAAUGUUUUAAGGUAAAUUAUUCUUGUGUUAAUGAAUUAGUUCAAAGGUUGAAAUGUAUAGUAAUGUUAUUUUUUUAUUUUAUCUGAAAUUGUGAAAUUCAUAAUUUUCUAAUUGUGUACCAUUUUAUAACUUUGUUAUACUUUAGAGAAAAUUGGUCUGGAGACUUGAGGAAGAGAAUGAAAUCAAAAUAGCUUUUAACUCGAAAGCCUCUCAUAGACUUUCUAAGGUGUUUAGGGAUGCCCGAAAUGAAAAUAUAAGGCCAUAUUGGAUUGGAGAUCAUGUUUGGAAUGAUCUGUUAUCACAUUGGAAUGCACCUGAGUAUCGUUCCAAGUGCGCACAAGAAAAAAAAGGCAUCUGAAAAGGUGGGGGUAUGCACACAGGUGAUUCUAUCAGCUUGCAGGAUCACGCCAUUCGAUUGGUAUACACAUUAAAAUAAUAAUACAUAGUUGUUUAUACUUUUUUAAUUUAUCACUUAAUGUUUAUUUUAUAAUGUUUGUUAAUAGUCAAAGGAGCUUGGUUGAUCUGUAUAUGUAAAUGAGGUCUUUCAACAAACUUAUUUACGAAAGGAUACUGGUUAAUUUGUCUAUGUUAGAUCUAGACAAACACAUGUGAGACCAUUAUCUUGCAUCUUUUUUUAUUCUUUAAAAUGUUUAUUAUAUUUAUGAAGUAAUAUCUCUUUAUGAAUUACAGGAAGAAAUAAUAAUUGUUUAUGAAUUACAGGAAGAAUUUGAGGCUAGACUAUCUCAAGCUAGGUCUGAUGCUGCAUCAAGUGUUGGUGAAUCACAACUCACUCCUUUAGACCCUGUUGAAGAACAAAGACUUAGGAGUCGAUGUUGGGUUGUGACUGUGGGAUCAAAGCGUAAAGGACGCCUUUAUGGUGCUGGAGACCUUGUUCAUACUUACAAAUGUGGAAAUGACAUCUUCAUGCAGCAUACACAAGGAUCUUCCUAAAGAUGCUGCAGAGAUUAACUGACUUAGGGAGGAGCUGCGUCAAUCAAAGAAGAUGUGUGUUUUUCAAUCAGUUGUCCUUCAGUUCUUACCUCCUGAAGUAUGGAACAUUAUUCAUCAACAACAACAACCUCACCAGCAGCAUCAGGAUCAACACCAACACCAUGUAGAUGACCAGCAAACAGAUGACCAACACGAACAUGAUGACUAACAGAGACACUCUCCUGAUGACUACAUUGAUAACUGACUAAGCAACACAAUUACUAUUGACAAUUGACAUUGAAGUCUUGCAUUGUUUAUCUUUUACAUUUGUUUUCAAUUUAACUUAAUGAUUUAUUUGUUUAUGUUUUGGAUUUAUCAAUUUUAUUAUUUCUUAAUUAUAAGUAUGUAUUAAAUUCAAAUUUUUACGAUAAAUAAUAAAAUUCAUAACAUAACUGCCAAAUUGUCAAUCAUAAAUGAUUAAAAAAACAAUUGAAAUAAUAAAUUAUUUAUAAAAUUAAAUUUUCCAAAGGAUUUUCCAUAAAAAAUUUACGACAAAAAAAUCCGUAAGAAAUAAUUCAUGGGAAAUUUCCGAUGGAAAAAUCUAUCGGAAAAUCCAUCGGAAAUUUCUGAUGGAAAAAUCUAUCGAAAAAUUCGUCGGAAAUUUCCGAUAGAAAAGAAAAUCCGUCGGAAAUAAUCCGUGGGAAAACUCCGAUGGACAUUUUCUGUUGGAAAUUUUCCAUGGACUUUUUUCGACGGAUUUUUUGUCGGAAAUUUCCGAUGGAUAACAAAAAAUCCGUCGGUUAAAAUUUCCUACGACCAUUUUUCCGACGGAUUUUUGUUAGUCGGAAAUUUACAGUUAGUGACGGGUUUUUAACGUUUCCAACAAAUUUUGGUUGUGGGAAAAAUGUUUUUUUUUGUAGUGCACAUUUGGUACCGACCUAUGUUUUGUUUUGUUGUUUGUAACAUCAUAGAUUUGUUAUUUUAGUGUUACAUCUUGAACAAGGUGAACAUUAGAUAUAAGUAAUUCCAACUGGUCAAGUAAUUAAUACAUUUAUCAUUUAUUUCUAAUUAGUUUUUUUUAAAAGAAAAGCAAAUGAAAUAUGUAUUUGAUGUUUUUGUGACAUGAGAUAUAUUAAAUACUUUCCAAAUAUUUCAUGUGAAAAGUACUUCAUGAUACAAAUUCAUUGGACGUAUUUAACAAACAAAAAUUGUAACACAAGUGCAUGCUUGAUUUUCAUCAAAUUUGUUUUUCUUUUACUAUUUUCAUUUAAUUUUUGUCUAAUAAAAUUAUAAAAACAUGUGGCUUCAUAAUAAAUUCAUUGGAGAUCUUUUUAUACUAAUCCAUUCAUAAAUUCGUCUAAUUAAUAUGUAUAUAUAAGUUCACAAUUACAAGAAUGAAGUUGUCAAUAGCACCAAAAAUAGAGAAUUAGUUUGGAACCAUUAUCAAAAUGCUAGAUAUGAAUAUGACACAUGUACAUGCUAAAUAGGGACAAGAUUGCCAUCGCUAAAAAGAUCAGGGUUAUAAGAAAAGAAUUGGUAGUCACCUUAAGCAUGGGGUUGAGGAAAACAUUGUUCAAAUUUUGGAAGCCAUAUAAGAAAGUGAUAGGUUGGUCAAUGUUGGUGUAUUUGAUCUUUUAUUCCUUAUGAUGGAGGAGGCUUUGCUACCAUUAAAGAAAUUAAUUAUCUUCAGUAGAUUCAAGGCUUUGUGAAAGCUUAUGGUGAGAUUUUGAUUGCAACUAAUAAUUGGGGUUUUAAACAUGUUGAAAUGAAUAUCAUGGGGGAUCAUUAGUAUUUGAUCAGAAGGUUUUUUUUUUCUAUCAAUAAAGAAAAUUUGAACUUACACAACUAAAAAAGUGUUAUUUACGAUGAUUCUAAGGGAAUUUUUUAUGACAGUUUUUAACCAUCGUUGAAGCCACCAUCGUGAAAAGUCUUGACAUUCCACAACGGCUUUCAAAGGUACAAUUUCUAAGACGGUUUUGUCUUAAAACUGUCUUAAAAUGUUUUUUUAAUUAAAAAAAUUUUAGAAUUCUAAAACCAUUUUAGAAUGUCUUUUUUAAAAAAAAUAAAAAAUUGAAGAUUCAAAUACGAUUUUUUUCAAAAACUAUCUUAGAGAGUCUACUUUCUAAGACUGUUUUUCAAAGAAACGUCUUAGAAUGUCUUUUUUUUUUAAAAUAAUAAAAAAAAAAUUGACGAAAUUGAGUACAGGUACCCAAACAUAUUUGCACAUACAUUCAUGCUUAUUUAAAUUGACUACAACCAUCCAAAAGGCAAAGUCACACAAACUAGAUUUUAAACACAAAUAAUCCUUACCUUUGCUACAAAUGUCAUUGUUUUAAGGAAAAUAAGUGUUUUUAAUUCUUAUAUUUUCAGUCAAACUUGGUUUUAUCCCUGUACUUUCAUAUUGGUGAAUUUAAUCCUGUAACUUUUAAAAAUAUGUGAAAGUAGUCUCUCUUCAUGUUUAAACUUAACAUUUAGUGACAAUUUUUUACUUUACAAAGUUGAAAGAUGGACUAAAUUCACAUAUUUUCUUAAGUUGAAAGAUGAAUCAAAAACAUAUUUUUCUCUUUUAAUUUCAACCAGAGGAUGAGUAUUAGAUUUCAUGCUAGUUUAAGAAAAUUUUCAGUUUUAUAUCAAUGAUGUUUGAAUGUUGGGAAGAAAAAUCGAAGUCAUGCUGCAAGUGGAUUUCUUAUGAUUGUAUCACAAUUUUUUGUACUUUAAUCAGAAAUGUCGUCCAGUCCAAUCCAAAGGGAUAGAAAAUAAUAAACAUUAGAAAAUGUAAAGGAAGAAAAAAAUAACCAAAAGAUAUAGUAAAAUUAAUAGAUUUAUUUUCUAAGCAAAAGUAACAACUUUUCUUACAAGGAUAUCCUAACCAAUCCAAGCAAACGAUGCACGACGAUAAACUGCCCAAACCAAGCAAACACUAUGCAGAAUAGAGUAACAACAACUGUUAGAUAUGAGACAGCUCCAAAGAAGGGUGUCUUCACAAAUGUUUGAGCAUGUUGUUGAAACUAUCUCAAACUAUAAGUAUUUUGCUGUCAAUUUCAAAUUGGGUACAUAUAUUCCCUAUUUAAAAGAGAUUAGAUUAGCAUAAUAUCCACACAUUUAAGUUCUUUAACCUUUUAAGACUAUUGAUUCUUGAUACUUACAAUGAACAUUUUAGAUUUUUCUAUUCCCAUAUAAUUUAAAAAAAAAACAAAAAAAGACUCAUUAAUCUAAAUCCAAAAUUUCUUCACACACCCCAUCCCCAAUUCCAUUUAAUCAUACCUUAGCUUCAAACCAACCAUCUUUGCGUGGUAGUUGUAGUUUUUUUUUGUUCAAAUUAUAUUUCCAUAGUCCAGUUCAUACCAGCAGAGAUAUCACUGCAUGGAAGCCUAGUUAAUUAGACCAUAAUCUAAAAAAAACAUUAAAUGAAAAUAUUUUAUAUUACCUUCUUCUAAUGUUUCUUGUGUACGGAACACAACGACAUACAUCACCUUUAAUGGUAACCACCAGCAUAACAACAUGACAUUAAAUUAUAAUUUUGUAUUCUUUGUUAUUCAUAGAAUAAUAUUAGAUAAUUACUCUAGGAUAUAACUUUGAAAUGACCAUAUUGAUAUUUUUGUUGUCAAAACAAUACACGUAAUUCAUCAAGUAAGCACAAAGCACUAAUUCAUCAAGUAAUCAAUACACGUAAACAAUGUUAGAAUUAGGUGCAAUUCAUGUAUCAUAUGUUGAACAAGUUCCCUCCUUCAUCACAUGUUAAAUGCAUUUAGUUUUAAUAGAAAUUAGUUCUUAGGAAGUAGCACCCUCACUAUUCCUGAGAAUUCUACCUUCACCACGAGAUCCUAAAGAUUCCAAAAAUAAAAAUCAGAAAAUGAAAAGCACCACAUUCCAAUUUAAUUGGACAAGGAGCUUGUAAAGUGAAAAAAAGGCAUGUAAAAGUAGCAAAUAAAACUUGAACUACACACCUUCUAUGAUAAGGCAACCUGCUCCAUAUAAUAACUGUUGGGUGAAAUUGUACAAACUCCAUAUCCUAAAAAAUUUAUGGUGAGGAUGUGAAUGAUAAAAGACUAAUGUCAAAGGAUAUCAUGUUAAUAUUGAAAAGCAACCAAAAGGGAAAAGCACACCUCAAGAGAGAUCCCACCACUUGCAACCAUGGCAUUGCCAUCUCCAAUACAAGUAUGUGUUGAGGUUGCAGAGAAGUAUGGUUUGUAAAUCUUUAAGGGGUUUCCUAGACUAUCAAUGAUAGGAAACAACAGGAUCUUGAAACCUAUGAUUCUCACAAACAAUCAAUAAACAACAAUAGAUAAUGAUGUGUACCUUUCUCCAUAGGAAGACUUGUACCUUUCUCCAUAGGAACUUCUCUCCGGUGCACUUUGAUUUCCUUGAAAGAGGAGAGAAAUAAGAUUUCACUUCCUUAGGCCUUUCUUUUCUGCCUCUCUCCGUUCGUGAUGGCUAUGGGUGAGAGAAAACACUUUUCUGGUCAGGAAGGAGACCUUAUUUCACGUUAGUGGGUAUUAAGCCCCUUUUAUAACUACUACUCCCAUCAAGUAACAGUUAGCUCUAUAAACUUCUCCUUUUAAGCCCAAUUACAAUUUAGCCCUUAAUCGUUAAUUAUUUACUUAUUAGUCCCUACAUAAGUCACAUGCCUCUCACAUGAGACAUUAAUUCUAACAUUCUCCCACUUGGCUCAUGUGACAUUAAUAAACAUUAUGGACUAAAUAAAUGAAUAGAUUAACUAACAUAAUGCGCAUUAAAAAUGACUAAAUUGUUAUGUACAUUGGGUACAUCAUAAUUUCAUGAUUAAGAAUAUGAACCAAUUCGAGUCAUGGCGGUUGUACAUCAUCUAAUCGAUAUAGUCCCUUCCAUGUACUACAAAUUAGUCUUCUCCUUAAUAUGACCAUUAGUUAGGAGUACAUAAUUGAUCAAACAUAAUGUCUUCAUUCAAGACAAAACCUGUUAACAUUACUCUAACACAAACAUGCAUGCAAACAUAGAGAACAGGUAAUCAGAAACAUAUUAUAAUUGAGCUCAGAGUGUCACUAAAAAUGCAUAAGAUAAAUUACACUUAAUGAUCAUCAAUAACAAUAAUGCCCAUACUUUCAACAUGUUCUAUAAUGUCUUGGGCGGUAAUCCCUUAUUCAAAGGGUCAAUCAUCAUAAGGUUUGUGCUAAUUUAUUUUAUUGACACUCUUUGUUUCUGAACAUCUUCCUUCACGACAAAGUACUUCAAUUUCAUAUGCUUAGCACCCUUAGAGUACUUGUCGUUCUUACAAAAAUAUUGCUGCGGAGUUAUCACAAUACAUCUUUAGUGGCCAAGCGAUACUGUCGACAAUUCCAAGCCCUGAAUUAAAGUUUCGCAACCAAUUAAUCUGAAUUGUAGCCUCAAAACAUACUACAAAUUCAGCUUUCAGAUGCAACAACAACUGAUGCAUACAAAAUAGCUUUCAUUUAUUUUCGUUCCAUAUCAUUUCUAGGACAUUGUGCGAGACCAAAUUUGUCUUCUUUCUAAAUUAGAACAGGUAAUGUUAAACACCUUUCCAUCUUGAAUCUCUCUAGCACUUUAUCAAUAUAUAUACUUUUUGAGAUAAGCCUAACAAUCCUGGUGAUCUAUUAUGGAAUAUUUCUAUCCCUAUCACAUAGCUUAUCUCACCCAUAUCUUUCACGUCAAAGUGUCUAGAGAGAAAUUUCUUAGUCUCAUGAAGAAGACCAAGAUCGGUAGCUGCAAGCAAGAUAUCAUCAAUAUACAGAAUUAGAAAAAUAACCUUACCCCCACUGACCUUCAGAUACAUACACUGAUAAACAGUAUUUGCCUUAAAUCUAAAGGAAACAAUGACAUCAUUAAACCUCAAAUACCAUUGGCAAGAAGCUUACUUUAAGACUGUAUAUUGAUUUCUAGUUUGCACAUUAUGUGUUCCUUACCCUCAACUGAGAACCCCAUUGGUUGGUCCAUACAAACAUUCUUCUCUAAAUCUCCAUUAAGAAAGGCAGUUUUCACAUCCAUCUGAUAUAGCUCCAAGUCAUAAUGGGCUACUAAUGCCAUGAUAAUCCUGAAAGAAUCCUUUCGUGAGACCGGUGAAAACGUCUCUUUAUAAUCAAUGUCAUCUUUCUGAGUAAAUCCCUUAGCAACAAGUCUAGCCUUGUAAUGUUCAAGGUUGCCAUGAGAGUCACGUUUAGUCUUGAAGAUCCACUUACAACCAACUCUCUUACAACCCUUUGGUAAUUCUACAAGGUCCCAAACACCAUUAUGUUCCAUGGAAUUUAUCUCUUCUUUCAUGGCAUUUAACCACUUCUCAGAACUAUCACAACUUACAACUUGUGAAAACAAAAUUGGAUCAUUAUCAUUAAUGCUUAAGUUUGUUUCUGUUUCAUGUAGGUAUACCACAUAAUCAUUCGAAAUAGUUGGUCUCCUUUUAUCUUUGAGACCUCUUUAAUGCUACUUCUUGUGGUUCUUCCAUAAUAGGUUCAUUAUGCAUUAUGGGUUCAUUAUUGUAUUGCUCAUCUUCAUUAAUUUUGUAACAACUAAAAGAAGCAAUCACCUUACUUCUAGAGGCACAAACUAAAAGGACUUGCACUCUAACUUCUUUAAUUUCCACUUCUUGUGGAACUAUACUCCCACUGAUUUUAUCAUUUUCAAUGAACCUUGCAUUUCCAGUUUCAAAAAUUCUCAUACUAUGAUUAGGACAAUAAAACAUAUACCCCGCUGAUUUUCUGGAUAACCAAUGAAAUAUCCACUGAUUGUUCUUGUAUCCAAUUUUCUUUAUUGUGGAUUAUAAAUCCUUAUUUCUGCCUGGCAACCCCAAACAUGCAGGUGCCUUACACUAGGUGUCCUAUUUGUCCACAGUUCAAAGGUGUCUUUGGAACUGUCUUACUAGGAAUCCUAUUCAACAAAUACAUAGCAGUUUUCAAGGCAUACAUCCACAAAGAUACGGGUAAAGUCAAAUUGAUUAACAUACUCCUAAUCAUAUCCAUUAAAGUUCUAUUACGCCUUUCUGAUACACCAUUUUGUUAUGGUGUACCGGACAUUGUGUAUUGUGCACAAAUGCCACGUUUUUGAAGAGGCUUAGCAAAUGGACCUGGGUGUUGCCCAACUUCAUCAUAUCUUCCGUAAUACUCUUCACCUCUAUCAUAUCUAAUAAUUUUCACAUUUAUGUCUAAUUGCCUUUUUACUUCAUUGUAGUAAAUUUCUAAGGCAUCCAUUGCCUAAGAAAUCUCGGGCAGUAAGUAGACAUAAUCGUAACGUGAAUAAUCAUCAAUAAUGGUGAUAAAAUAUCAUUCCUUUUCGAAAGAACUAAAAUCAAAAGGUCCACAAAUAUCAGUAUGCACAAUUUCAAGAAGCUGAGUGCUUCUUGUAGCUCUUUUCUUUGUAUGUUUUGCUUGUUUUCCCUUAAUACAACCCACACAAAUAUUUAGAUCCAUAAAAUCUAGAUAAGGAAGAAUUUCAUUCUUUAUUAAUCUUCCCAUCCUUUCUCUAGAAAUGUGACCUAAACGUUUAUGCCACAAAGAGUAUCCAGUAACAUCAAGUUUAGAUAAUGAAACUAAAUUACUAGAUAAACUAGUUACAUAAAGAGUUUCCAAUAAAUCUAAAUGAUGUUCAGUGUCGAGUUUUACACAAUAAGUCUCGACUGCUUACAUUGGAGUUUCACUCUAUUCCCCAUGAAAAUGAACUUCUCAUUUGGGUUUAUGGUUUGGAUUGUAAGGAAUCUCUGCAUAAUGUUAGAAACAUGAGUCAUACAUCCAGAAUUAAUCCAUCAUGUAUUAUGGGAAACUUUAGUUAAGUUUGAUUCAAAACAUACAUGAGCAUUAAGCCCACUUUUCUUUUCGAACCAAGACUCGCACUUUAGGUAAUCCUUCUAGAAAUGUCCUGAUUUCCUACAAAAUUGACAAUUAUUUCCCUUUGAUACCUUCCUCUAGAUUUGCAAAGAGUAUUGAUUUUUAAUUACCCUCUGCCUUUCUCAUGCUUCUUCAUAAAUUUCUUUCCAGCUCCUUGAUUCCCUUGGUGACUUUCAUAAUGGACUGAGUGACUUCCUUGAUUUUUAAGCCUCGUUUCUUCCUGAACUAACAUAUUGUGCAAUUCAUGCACAUUCCAUUUAUCUUUAUGGUAUUAUAGUUCAUUUAGAACGGGCCAAACUCAGGCGGUAAUGAGUUUAGAAUAAACUAAACAAGAAAGUUCUCAUUCACAGCCAUUAUAUUCCCAAGGUCUUAAGUCUUGUUGCAAUGUUUGUCAUCUCAAUGACAUGUUCAUACAUAGUACGUGAGCCAUCAAACUUCAUGGUGACCAAUAUACUCAUUAAUGUCCCAACAACAGACUUAUUAUCUGUUUGAGAGCGCUCUCCCACUAAUCACAUAAACUUUUUAGCACUUUCGAUUUUAGGGAGAGUUGUCUUAAUACUGUCAGCAACAGUCAUUCUCAUCAACAUUAGACUGAGUCUGUUAGAUGUUUCCCAAGUUUUAUAAUGAACUUUCUCUUCAUUUCUACUAACAUUAAUAAUAGUAACAAACUUCUCUUCCAACAUAGCAAGAUCAUGAUCCAAAACACCGAGGUGAAAUUGGACUUGCUCAUUUUAGUCAGAGAAGUUAAGUCCAUUAAAAUUGGCUCAGAUGAUACAUAAGAAUCCAAUGAAUUCAAAACAUGUAUUACAUAAUAAAAUUCACAUAAGUGUUUUGAGACAUAAAAUACAUGUCAUACAUAUGAUUCAUUCAGAUAACAGUCAAUGUAUAUUGAUGUUCUCCUUUGGGUGAUACACCAACACACAACAUACAAACAUAAUGAUGCUAAUAAAAUUUUAACAUUAUUUGGCAAUUAAAUAUGCACAAAUUAGUAGUAUCUAUUUCCUUUGGGCAUAUAAAUAAAACUAAUGAUACACACAAAUCGCCUACAAUUAUAUUAAUUAAUUAUAAGAACAACUAAUCAACCUUUGGGCGAUCCAUAAAUGCCUUAUAACAAUGAAUUUCAAUUACCCAUAAACCAAUAACCAUAUAAUUUAACAUCCAUUAUUCUAUGAGUAAUCAAAAUAAUCAUUAAUUUUGGAAUUAAAUAACCUUAUAAAUUUGGCCACUUUGGUGACUAACAAAUUCAACAUACAUUUAAUUCCAACCAAGUAUAAUUGAAAUAAUCAUUAAUUUGGAAUUAAAUAACCUUACAAAUUUGGCCACUUUGGUGACUAACAAAUUCAACAUACAUUUAAUUCCAACCAAAUAUGUAUGACCUGCACAUACUUAUUGCUAUUAACAAUUCAUAGUCAUUCUAUUAAUUUCAUUCCAGGCCAUAAAAUAAUAUUUGCAUUUAUUUGUGUUUUUGCAUUCAAACACGUUCAAGCAAAUAUGUACCAUAUACAUAUAUUUAUUGCUACCAAUAAUUGCAAAACAUUCAUAUUAAUUUAAUUACAGAACAUAAACUUUCAAUUCUUUAAUCACGUUCAACAAUAAUUUUUCGGGAAAAAAAAAAGAUCAAGUGGGAUUGGAAAUAACAAACAUAAGGUUGCAAAUAGAAAUUUCCAAAAUUUCUUAUUCUUCCCUACCGAAAACCUAGGCGCAGUUUUUCAAAAUUGAAAUUGAAUCUUUAUGUUAAUGGGCACGCUUCCUUUCUUUCACCAUUAGAAGUAAAAACUUUCUCCAAAUUUAAUAUAUACAUGCCGUGCAGCUUUCUCUCCGAUAAUCAUAAGUUUUCAAAUAAUCUUUCUCCAAAAAUUGGUAUUCAACAAUAAUAAAAUAUCGUCAAUAAAACAAUACAUGCAACGAAAAAUAAAAUUCCUAAAUUUUAUAAUUAGGAUUUAUGCAUAAUUGGGAGAAAUUAAAUUAUCCCUAAAUCUCAUAAUUAGGGUUCAUGCAUAAUUGGGAGAAAUUAAAUCAUUCUUGGAGAAUCAUAAAUUUCAUAACACAUGCUCUGAUACCACAUGUAAAUCUUUAAGGGGUUUCCUAGACUAUCAAUGAUAGGAAACAACAGGAUCUUGAAACCUAUGAUUCUCACAAACAAUCAAUAAACAACAAUAGAUAAUGAUGUGUACCUUUCUCCAUAGGAAGACUUGUACCUUUCUCCAUAGGAACUUCUCUCUGGUGCACUUUGAUUUUCUUGAAAGAGGAGAGAAAUAAGAUUUCACUUCCUUAGGCCUUUCUUUUCUGCCUCUCUCCAUUCGUGAUGGCUAUGGGUGAGAGAGAACACUUUUCUGGUCAGGAAGGAGACCUUAUUUCACGUUAGUGGGUAUUAAGCCUCAUUUAUAACCACUACUCCCAUCAAGUAGCAGUUGGCUCUAGAAACUUCUCCUAUUAAGCCCAAUUACAAUUUAGCCCUUAAUAGUUAAUUAUUUACUUAUUAGUUCCUACAUAAGUCACAUGUCUCUCACAUAAGACAUUAAUUCUAACAUGGUCUACCAUAACCCUGAAGUAGAAUAAAGGAUCGCACUUAUCCAUAAAUAAGUGAAAUAAAAUAAAAUAAAAAUCAGCAUCAAGCAUCGUCUUAGAAAAUUGUUACCCUUGUGGCUAAAAUUGUCGAAGCAGCUUUGAAACGAUGUAGUGUUCCAUCCUCCAUAUUCAAGGAAAUCACUCCUUGACAUCCUUUUACGUUUGCAAACUUCUGCCCAAACACACACUAAGUGAUCAAUAUAUUGUAGAUAACACAUCGACAAGAUGCUAUAUGGUCCCAUUGUUUAUCUUAUGAAUGGUCCUAGGCAGGAAAAACAGGAAAAAAAAAGAGAAGCUUAUAAGUAGAGCCUAUAAACUACUACUAGGCAGUACUUCCCACCAUUUGACAAAGGGUAGAGAAGUAGGAGCAAUAAUACAAGAGAGAAGAGAUUCAUAGUAUUUGAUUAAUUGUCAUAUCAUUCAUUAGUUUAAAGACCCCACAGUUGUUAUCCCAGUGCUUAAAUUUCUUGGGUCCUACACUAUUUACAAAUUCCCUGUCACCCCAAAGAUAUUGAAUGAAAGAUGUAAGAAAAGCCUGGUUAUUCUGAAAUGGCAUGGGAUUUCAUUUAAAAAUAUAAGGAACAAAGAAUACUUACGGCCACGGGCCAUCACCAAGGAGAAGAAUGUCAUUCCCUUGGUCAACAAAUACAAGCUGCCAGUCUGAUCUCACAGGGUCCUCUAACUUACCUUCAAGGCCGAACAUACGAGCAAGCUCGUCAGUCAAUCGUUUUUGAGAAAAAAGAUCAAUGCAAAAUAUGUCAAAUUGUCAAUACCAGACUUUCAAGUAUGUAAUAAUUAUAUACUUGGAAAUAUGGUUAUUUAUUUGAUUCCUUUUGUUAUAGUGUACUGGACUAAUUAUUAGUUAUUAGAAGCAUGGACAAUUCUAAAUAAUAUUUGUAAAUGUGUUGUACUUGUGUCAAACAAAUGCAUCUAUAUAUGUUGAUAUUGCACAAAAACUUUCAAUAUCAUUCGAUCUGGUGUAUUUUGCAUGUAAUUUUUUUAAACCUUUUACCAAUACAAUUUUGAAUAUCAUGAUAUAUAUAAAUAGAUACAAUUUUGCAUGUAUUUUAUUACGUUUAUAAUGUCAUAUAAACUAAUUCAAUUUAUACAAUUAAAAAAAACUCAUUUAUGAUAUUAAUAACGGCUUAAUAUCAAACACUCAGGCUAAAGAGUUAUAUCAUUCAAAAAAAACUUUUAAAUAAAUUUUUUAAGUUUAAUUAAAUGCCUGCAAUUUUAAAACAAUAUUAAUGCUAACUCCAAGUUAGUGAUUUGACAAAAAGAAGUUUCUUAAAUAAAACAUCAAAAGUGAAAAUAGCAAGUAAGCAAUGCACAUAUAUGAUAUUGAACCAUAGAAAUUUUGGGGGGAAAAAAUGGAACUAGAUUAUGCCAAAAUAGUUUUAUAUAGUCAAACAAUUAUUCAUUUAGUUACAUACUUUGAAUGCUAAAGUGAAAGUUUCUAAAAUAAUUGCACUGACUUUGAACUUCUUAUUAUAUCUUCUUAUUAACAGAAUUUGCUACUUUAAACUUAUUAAACUUACCGUUAGGUGUGAUAGGAGAAUCAUCAAUCUAAUUAUGAAACGAUAUCCUUCCGAAUGGGAUAAAAUAAUUCCUUAUAUAUUAUUUACUAUUCCUAUUUCUUCUAUUAAUUGAAGAAAUAAUUUGAAAAUAAAACAGCAAGUACAAAAAUGAGUAAUAACCCCCCAGUAGAGACUGGUACGAUUCAAUUCAACAUUUUUUUCAUUUGGGUUUGAUUGUGUCGUAGCUCUAUAAUUCAAAUUAGGUUUAUCGUUGGAUGAACUGCAUUGCUGAUAUUGAUCCCAAAAAAGAAACACUGGGUACCGCUAGUCUGUGAACAGCCAACCAUCAUACUGUAAAAAUUGGAUAGGUCCUAUCUAUGGUCAUUGGAGCCUCCUAAAAAGAUCUAUUAAAUUCAUCAAGUUGUUCCAAAGGAUCAAAACGGCCAGUUAUUAAUGGAAUUCCUUGUCGGCUCUCUGUAAAAUAUUUGUUUGGGCGGGGACUUUCAAAAACAUCGUAAGCUAGACCCGUGCUGACAAAUAACCAACCUGCAAUGAAUAGGGAGGGUAUAGUAAUGCUAUGAAUAAUCCAGUAUCGGAUACUGGUAAUAAUAUCAACAAAAGAACGUUCUCCUGUGCUUCUAGACAUGUUGAACUCCACAUAUUCUUGUACAGUCAAAAGGGGGAUCGAUUCCAUAAAAGACGAGAUCAGUAAGUAGAAAUUUACUGAAAUGUAAUCCUUGUUAGAUCGUCCAUUUUGUACCAACGGUGUCUUUUGAGUAUACCGAAUCAGUAUAGCUAUCCUUCUUCUAACAGAGCAAUGAAAUUUCACAAUCGAAAUCUAGGACUAGAUAAGUUCUUUCUUCUUUCUUCAUUGAUUGUCUCGAUGUAUUCAAAAAUCCGAUAGAAAAUUUUUUAAUAGUACAUUUUUAUAGUAAUAGUAUAAAAUGAAGGUUCUUCACAUUUCACAUUAUUAUUUUCGGACUAAAAAUUAAGUAUCAAUUAAAAUCAGAAUAUGGUAAAUUGGUUUCUUAGAAUUCAUAAAGGAGAUUUUAUAUUUCUAGAAUUCAAUUAGAUGCCAAAUCUAUAAAUAUACUUUUUGUGGUUGUUGAAGAUAUUUUUUCUAUUUUCUUCUAUAUCAAUUCAAAAUUAAAUAAAUUGAAAUAACAAAGUUAAUUUUCUGUUUUUAUUUUAAUAUUCAUUUUUCUUUCUAAUAGAAAUAGAAUUCUAUUCUAGAAUAAUAUAUGAAAUAAUACGAAAGAUUUUCAUUAUCAUUAGAUUAGUUUACUCAAUUCUUGAGUUGAUUAAUAAGUCUGUUGAUUUGGAAUCACAGGAUGAGUAGAUGUCACAGAUGAUGAAUUUAUUUCUAAAUUAUGUCAUUCUAUUUCUCUUUUUAUUCGUUUGUAAUAAUUUAUUAAUGAAUCUCCAAUUUUCAAUUAUAUCUUUUAAGUAGUAUUUUUUCUUAUCUUCUUUUUUCUCUCAAAAAUGGAAAUUUAGGGAAGUGCUUUAUAAACAGAUGUAUAAAAAUAACAUAUUUCAUUUAGCUUAUAUCUGCUCACUAUAACUAGUUAUUUUGGUUUUUUACUAGUAGUUUUAAUUAUAACCUCAUCUCUAUUUAUUGGUCUGAGUAAAAUACGACUUAUUUGAUUUGUAAUUUUGAGAGGAAUAGUCAAUUUUGGAAUAAGACAUUCUAUAGUUCCUUACUGUGUCAAUUUACAAUUAUCAGCCGUUGAGAUUCAUGAUCAAUACAGAUUAAUGGUUAAGGAUAAAUAUUACCUUUCUUUUUACCUUUUGAACAAAUAAAAAUGAUUGAAGUUUUUCUAUUUGGAAUCAGGUUAGGUUUAAUUCCCAUUACUUUGGCUGGAUUAUUUGUAACUGCAUAUUUACAAUACCGACGAGGUGAUCAGUUGAAUCUUUGAUUAAUUAAUGUCUCUUUUUUUGUGGAUUCCCUAUUUUUUUUGUUUUAAUCCUAAUCCACAAGGAUUAAAUUCAGACUUUUUAAUGUUUAAUUAUUUCAGUGUAAUUAUCAUUCGAAAAAUACUAGAAUCAUGUUCUGUAGGAUUUGAAUCAUCACGCUCUGUAGGAUUUGAACCUACGACAUCGGGUUUUGGAGACCUGCGUUCUACCGAACUGAACUAAGAGCGCUUUGUUUUCAUAAAUUAUUUUAUAUGAUCCAAAUCCAUUUUACAUGUAUAUACUAUAUCAAUAUAUAUACAUAUAGAUAUUCGGUAUGUAUGUCCAAUUGGAAUUCAUCUUCAAUUGGUUCCAUUUUAUUGCUCAUCUCAUAUAAUAAAUAUAUAAUACGGAAUAUCAUAUGAUAAGUAAUAGUUAGGGAUAGGGAUGACAGGAUUUGAACCCAUGACAUUUUGUACCCAAAACAAACACGCUACCAAGCUGCGCUACAUCCCUUUUCCAUUUGUUUCUAGUGUUAUUGUAAAGAAUCUUUGUCUUGUUUUCUUCAUUUUUAUCUGUUGAUAUAUAUAUAUAUAUAUAUAUAUAUAUAUAUAUAUAUAUAUAUAUAUAUAUAUAUAUAUUCUUUAGAAUAAUAAAAAAGAAUAUUAAAUUCAAAUAAAUUAUAGAUAGAAAAAAGACUUAAAAAAGAGGAUUUGAAAUGCGAGAUCUAAAAACAUAUCUUUCCGUGGCACUAGUAGUAAGUACUCUAUGGUUCGGGGCUUUGGCGGGUCUCUUGAUAGAGAUCAAUCGUUUUUUUCCAGAUGCAUUGAUAUUCCCUUUUUUUUCAUUCUAGUUAUUGACACAGAAAGGGGUGAAGAAGAUUAUUGAUCCAAUUAAGUAUUAAAUAUAUGUAAUUAAUCUCUUCUUCUUUAUUUCGUCUUUUAUUUCUUCUUUUUUUUACAAUUAUAAUAGAAUAAGUUAGGAAAGAGAAAGAAUAAGGGUUAAUUUGGCCUAAUUGAAAUUCGGAGUGAAACUCGGGAUCUCGUCCAGGCUUCCAUGGAAUUGAAUUAAUAAUUCAAUUCCAUUUCUAUUAAUAAAAGAGUGAAAGCAGAAAUUUAAAUGGAAUGUAUAGGGUGGGGGCAACAAUUGUUGGAGUCUAACAGAACUUACAUAAAAGAUAAAAUGUAAAGGAAGGAAUUCAUUCACAGUUAUUGAAAAGCAAACCUGGCUAAUAUAUAGCCUUACAUCAGAAUAAAGAAAACUGAAAAAUAAAACUGCUCACGCAUACAUGACCCACUAUUUCCUAAUAAUGUGCUAGACAUAUUCAAAAACAUAACUGCUCCUAAAAAUAUGGAACCAUAAGCUCACUAACAAAUCCUCCCUUAAACUGAAUGCUAUAUGCAAUUAGUUUAUAUCAGACUCUGAACACAAUCCUAGUGACCUGCGUAGCUUUAAGAAAGUAUCAAGCUUAAGUGGUUUGGUCAUAAUAUCAGCCACUUGUUCUUGUGUCCCACAAUGCAUCAUCUUGAUAGUUCCGGCCUUUGUAAGAUCUCGAAGGAAAUGAAAUCGGACGUCAAUAUGUUUACAACGACCAUGCAUCACUGGAUUCUUCGAAAGCUUAAUAGCAGAGCUACUAUCACAAUGAAUUACAGUAGCUUGGUCUUGCAUUUUACACAAUUUUCCCAACACCCUUUUCAACCAUAUGGCUUGACAAGCACAUGAUGCUGCACCUAUAAACUCUGCCUCUGUAGUUGAUAGACUCACAAUUGGUUGUUUUUUUAUGACCACGAAACAGCAGCUGAACACAAUAAGAAAACAUAACCCGAAGUACUUUUUCUGUCAUCCAAAUCCCCUGCAUAAUCGCUGCCAGUGUAAGCAAGAAGCUCUUUGUUUCCUCCCUUUUUGUAGAAAAUUCCAAACUCAGUUGUUCCCUUUAAAUAUCUCAGCACCUUUUUGGCUGCUAGUAAAUGCAGCUCAGUAGGAUUCUCCAUGUACCUGCUAAUUAAGUUCACCACAAACAUCAUAUCGGGUCGAGUAGAUGUUAGAUACAUAAGACAUCCCACAAUUUAUUUAUAGUAAGUCUUAUCCACCUUUACACCAGUGUCGUCCUUUGUGAGUUUAACACCAGGAACAAUUGGAGUUUGCACCGAAUUGCUUUUAUCCAUUCCAAACCUUUGCAGCAUCUCUAAUGCAUAUUUCUUUUGACAUAAGAAAACGCCAUCUAUUCGUUGCAUCACUUCAAGACCCAGAAAAUAUCUCAUAUUACCAAGAUCUGUCAUGUCAAAUUCAUGCUUCAUGGAGCUUUUAAAUUUUGCAAACAUCAACUCAUCAUUUCCAGUAAAAAUAAGGUCAUCAACAUACAAGCUAACAAUUAAUAUUAUAUCUUCAUUUUCUCUCUUCACAAACAAAGUAUGCUCAUAGUCACACUUCUCAAAUCCUUCCUUCAGAAAAUAUGCUUCUAUGCGACUAUACCAAGCACGUGGUGCUUGCUUAAGUCCGUAAAGGGCUUUCUUCAACUUAUACACUUUAUGCUCUUCCCCUUUUUGUUCAUAACCACAAGGUUGGUCCACAUAUACUGUUUCAUCCAACUCUCCAUGUAAAAAUGCUGACUUUACAUCCAGCUAAUAGAUUGCCCAUCCCUUUUGAGCUGCAAGUGCUACCACCAAACGAAUUGUCUUCAUUCGUGCCACUGGUGCAAAUACUUCUGUAUAGUCUACCCCAUAUUCUUGUGCAUACCCCUUCACUACAAGCCUAGCUUUGUACUUGUCCACUUCUCCAUUCUCUUUGAAUUUUGUCUUAUAAAUCCACUUUACUCCAACUUUUUUUGCUCCAUCAGGUAAUUCCAUCAAUUCCCAUGUGCCAUUUUUGUUUAUUGCUUCCAUCUCCUCAUCCAUGGCUUUCCUCCAUUUUGCAAUUUGAACAGCUGCAUCAAAGUGAGUAGGAUCACUUUCACCAGUUGCAGACAUAGCCAGAUUAGCUUCUGUACUGCCUUCAGAAAGUCCUUCUCCAGUUUCAUAAUCUUCCAUCCAAAGGGGUGGUCUUCUACACCUUCGUUGAACAGGACUAGAAGUGUUUACUUCGGCCAUAGAAUCAGAGGAAAUAAUAAUAUCCUCUUAUGGGGUAUCAGUAUUGUGUCGUACCUCAUGUUCUUCUUCUACAACAGCUUCCACAUCCUUAUCACCCCAAUCUAAAUCACAUAAGAUGGUUUCUCCAUACUGCUUAUCCCAAUCCCAACGUUUAUCUUCGUCAAAGACAACAUCUCUGCUUAUUAUGAUCUUUUGUGAAAUCGGAUCAUAAAGUUUGUAUGCUUUUGAUACUUCACUAACCCCCAACAAAACACAACACAAACUUUUAUCAUCUAGCUUGGUUCUUUUAGCAUCAGGCACAUGAACAUGAGAAAUACAUCCAAAAACUCUAAAAUACUUAACUGAAGGCUUGACUCCACUCCAGGCUUCUUCCGGCGUUUUAUUUCUCACUGCUAAUGUGGGACUCCGAUUCAAAAUAUGCACAGACUAGGUGGCAGCUUCAGCCCAAAAAGUUUUGGGCAUUUUCUUCUCUGAGAGCAUGCUCCGAACCAUGUUCAUGAUGGUUCUAUUUUUCCGUUCUGCAAUUCCGUUCUGCUGUGGUGUGUAUGCAGCUGUCAGUUGCCUACGAAUACCAUUGUCACAACAAAAAUUGGUGAAAUCCUGUGAUGUAAACUCUCCCCCACGAUCAGUGCGCAAACUUCUGAUUAAUGAGUCAGCUUCUUUCUCAACAAGAAUUUUAAAUUUCUUAAAGACAGAAAGAGCUUCUGAUUUUUCUGUCAAGAAAUAAAUCCAAGUUUUUCUACUGAAAUCAUCAAUAAAGGUGAGCAAAUGCCUCUUUUUGCUGUUGGAGAUAGGUGUGAUUGGUCCACAAAUAUCUGCAUGAAUUAAUUGUAGAACCUGUGUAGCCCUCCAAGUACUCUUCUUUGGGAAUGAAGCUCGUGAUUGCUUCCCUACCAAGCAGUCCUGGCACAGUUUUGUUGGUGCUUUCAUUGUUGGAAAACCAUAUACCAUGCUCUGCUGGUAAAGCGUAUUUAAACCCCGAAAACUCAAAUGUCCAUAUCUGCAAUGCCAAAGAUGCACUAUAUCCUCUGUAACUGUGUGAAAGCAAGUGGAUUUGGUAGGUUGAGAUAUGGCAUGUAGCAUGAACAUUCGAUUGGAAGAGAUUCUGGUUUCCAUGAUUAAACCGUUUUCAGGAUGAAACACCUUGCACUUUCCAUGUUGAAACAGAAUACUAAGUCCCUUUUCUUGUAAUUGCCCAAUACUUAGUAAGUUAUUCCUUAAAUCUGGCACAAAAAAAACUCCAGUAACAGUAUAAGUGUUGUCAUUCAUGUUUAUCCGAACGUUACCUUUGCCCGUUACAGCCAUACUGGAAUUAUUGCCCAAUUUGACUGAAUCUUUGUAAUUUUCAUCAAGAUCUGAGAAAUAUUCCUUCUUACCGCACAUGUGAUUGCUACGUCCAGAGUCAAGAAACCACACAACUUCUUCAUUUGCCUUAGUCACGUCUAUGCAGGCCAUCAAUAACAUUUCAUCAUCGUUUUCUACAUAGUUGGCCUCCUUUCUUUGGUUUAAACAUUCCCAGCUGAAAUGUCCGAGUUGAUGACAAGUGUAGCACUCCACAGUGGAUUUUUCAAAUGCCUGUCUGCCACGUCCUCGGCCUCGUCCUCUUCCUCUUCGUCCAAAGCCUCCACGACCUCGCCCCUGUUCUGCAUGUUGACCUGUAUGAGCAAUCUGCAAGGCCUGCGCUUCUUCUACAUGAGAAGUCAUGCGUAGUUCAUGGACAAGAAGACUACUUUGCAAUUCAUCAAUGGUCAAUGUGUCUGUAUCCUUAGACUCCUCAAUGGAACACACAACAUAAUCAAACUUGGGAGUCAUGGAUCUCAGAAUUUUUUCAACUACAGCCACAUCUCCUUUGUUUUCACCAUUAGCCUUCAUCUUGUUGGCUAUGGCAAGUGUCCGAGCAAAAUAAUCGUUUACAGAUUCUCCCUCCUUCAUGUGGAGAAUUUCAAACUCUUUUCUUAGAGCUUGCAACUGUGCACGCUUGACUCGUGAAGUGCCUUGGUACUUCUGUUUCAAAGAAUCCCAUAUAUUCUUUGAUGUAUCUUUGUUAAGAAUUGUCUCCAGGACGGAACGAUCUAAUGCUUGAAAUAGGUAGUUCUUUGCCUUCAAAUCUUUUAAUUUCUGAUCAUCAAUAUGCUUCCUCUCUACUUCGGUAAGAGGUGUUCCUUCCACUAAUUCAGGAAUUCCAUUUUCUACCAGACCCCAGUACUCCUUUGAACGUAAGAAAUUCUCCAUGAGUAGCGCCCAAUGAUCAUAAUGCCCGUCAAACUUCGGUAUAGCGGGCUGCACAAACGAACUCUCCGAUGCCAUAGCAUUGCUUAGAAGACUGCUGCUUCUACUUUGAAUCAGGCCUCGUGAUGGUGCUCUGAUACCAGAAUGUUGGAGUCUCACAGAACUUACGUAAAAGAUAAAAUGUAAAGGAAGGAAUUCAUUCACAGUUAUUGAAAAGCAAACCUGGCUAAUAUAUAGCCUUACAUCAGAAUAAAGAAAACUGAAAAAUAAAACCGCUCACGCAUACAUGACCCACUAUUUCCUAAUAAUGUGCUAGACAUAUUCAAAAACAUAACUGCUCCUAAAAAUAUGGAACCAUAUGCUCAGUAACAACAAUAUCAUAAAAAAUACUUAGUUAAAAAAAAUGAAAAUACUGUAUUGCAAUUGUAUUGCAAUUCGAAACAAAAUAUAGUUCGAGAUCAUUGUAUUAUUUUUGUACUAUAUUAAUCUUAAUCUUAAUUGGAACGAAAUCUUUCAAAAUUGGAUUUCGAAUUCUUAAUUUAUAUUUUCAUUUUUUCGUUCUUUUCUUUUUCUUAGAUUAUAAUCCGAAAACAAAAGAGUUAAGUGAAUUAAAAACCCAAGGGAGGUUCAUGGCCAAAGGUAAAGAUAUCCGAGUAAUUGUUAUUUUGAAAUGUACCGAUUGUGAUAAAAAGAGUGUUAAUAAGGAAUCAACGGGUAUUUCUAGAUAUAUAAUUAAAAAGAAUCGACAGAAUACGCCUAGUCGAUUGGAAUUGAGAAAAUUUUGUCCCCGUUGUUUCAAACAUACAAUUCACGCAGAAAUAAAGAAAUAGAUCAAAUUGAUCGCUUGUGUGUUACCCUUCGAACCAAAGAACUUAACAUGUAAAAUGAUCUAUUUUUCUUAUCUAUAUAGAUAGAUCUAUCUAUAUUCUAUCAUUUACAGUUGAAUAUAUACAAAUAUCAGUAUAUAACAACAUAUAUUAAAAAAAUAAUUACAUAUAUUAAAAAAGUCAGAAUAAAAAAACAAAUCCUUUAUUGUAUUUCUUGUAAUAAAUGUGAUUUUUGGAAUAGGAAUAAAUAAACCAUGAAAAAAUCUAAGCGACUCUUUAUGAAAUCCAAGCGAUCUUUUCGUAGGCGUUUGCCCCUGAUCCAAUCGGGGGACCGAAUUGAUUAUAAAAGCAUGGGUUUAAUAAGUCGAUUUAUUAGUGAACAAGGAAAAAUAUUAUCCAGAUGCGAAAAUAGAUUGACCUUAAAACAACAACGAUUAAUAACAAUUGCUAUAAAACAAGCUCGUAUUUUAUCUUCAUUACCUUUUCUUAAUAAUGAAAAACAAUUUGAAAAAAGCGAGUCAACCGCUAGAACUACUACUUUAAGAAAAAAAAAUAUAGAAAUUAAGAACUAUAAAUCCAAUUUUGAAUUGAGAUUUGAAUGAAAUAUUGAUUGAUGUUUUGUUUGAAAAUCACGACAAUUCAAUUUGGGUUUUUAUGUUGUAAAUGGGUAUAGCUUCUAGACCUUGGCUCCUUUUUGAAGUCUGUCAAUAUUUUGUUUAUAGCUGACACACAAGAUGCAGAACCAACCACCUCAACCAUGUGUACAUUCUCAAUAAAAGUAUCUUCAAACUAGCAAUUAAUACAUUUAUCAAAGAAACUAAAACAUCAACUUGAUGACAAAUUGACAGCAUGAUUUUAUUCAAAUUUUCAAAAAUAUAAUAUUCAAGAUCUAAAUAAUAAUUAUAGUUCGCUGGAUUAUUCUUAAGCGCCUAAGACUAAGAGAGAUUAAGGGAAUCAGCCAAUAUAAUCAGCAGAUGAGCGGUCUAGUCCGCUACUUCCAGCUCAGGAGGAUCCACGGAAGAUGUUACCCCCACCAACUACCAGUGCAACUUGAAACAUCAGCCUAAUUGUUUAAACCAAAAGUCUGAAAACCAGUAAAAAGCUUUGAAUAACUUCAGGUCAAAUGUUCUAACUUGCAGUGAUAUCAUAAAGUCUCCCAAUGUUACUGCCAAAUACAAAAAUAGAUCCGUGUAUCACUUCUCCUAAAGAUUAAUUUGUAAAACACAUCGUCAACGACAAUUUCACAAAACUACUGUAAAUUUCACAUAUUCAAUUAGUCAAAUGAUCUCAAACAACAGAUGAUGCAGCAGAAAAACUAGAACAAAAGAAAAAAAUGUAUUACCAUAAAAGAAUCCAUUGUAGUCACCUCAAUGCCAAGGCGAGUCACUGCUGCCACCUCCCUUGCAAUGGCCAUGGUUAUCUGUAUCCAACCAUAAAACAAUAAUUUAAGAAAUGAUGCCGAGAACAACAUGAUGUAUCAAAAUAUUUCAUUUUAUUUCAAUUAUGUUUUCAGGAAUUAUGCAUUGUCACUCUUCUCUAAUUAACUUGUUUUCUCAUUUCCCUAAAAUGUCCCUUUAAGUAAUUAAGCCAUAGCAAAUAUAUAUUGCCACUGUUAUAUCUAUUAUGUAUACUUGUAAUUAACAAUUAGAAAACUAAUUUUAAAUAAUAAAGGCAAUAACACACAAUAAAAUAGUAGAAAAAUGUCCUGCUCCUGCAAGUGAGAAGUUAUUAAAAAAAGAAGAAGGGAAUAGAGUGGGAAAGCAAAGCAGGGUAUGUAACCUUAGGGUCAAUGUUCUGAGAGUGGUCUCCAGCAAGUGCUUCUCUGCUAACUUUGAGCAAAACCCUUCGUCAUUUAAAUGAUGACCUGCUACUUUCGUUCAUUGAGAGUCUCAAGUGAGACAUGGACGGAAUCUUGGACUUCCUGCCAACAAAUUUUAUUUAUUUUAACCAUAACAAACAGUUAUUAUUAUUAUUAUUAUCGUCUUAGUUCCACAGAAGCAUUUCUACAAACAGCUUGUUAGAAGAAGAGAAACAAACUUGAAAUUGAUGGGCUCAGGCGAAGCGGCCAUUUCAGAAUAAGAGGAGCGAAUGGCGAGACUGGUGGUGUGGGAGGUUGAAUAGAAAAUUAAUUCACAGAAAUUUGAAUAUUAAGGAAAUAACAAGAAACCCUAAACAAUCAAAUGAAGUAGAUGAUGCUCCACAAUGGCAUUCAUGCAUCCACAUUCCCAUUGAUGAAGGCCUCUCUUAGCUAUAAAAAAAUGAACACUUAGUUUCCUGCUUUAUACAAAACUGUCAAAAUUACACGAGCAUGGAUUAAAACAUAAAAAUUAAAAAUAAAAUUCUAUUUCGUCGCGGUAGCCUGAUAACGUUUAAUUUGCAGUCCCAGUGGGAGGUUCUGGUGAGCACGGUGUCGAACACGCUGAAGGCGAUGAGGAGAGGGGUGCAUCCGAUCCAAAACAUGGCGUGUGCCCAAUUAAAUGAAAAAUUACAGUUGGACAAAAUAUGAAAAUAUGUGACUGCUUUGAAUUAAGAUAUCCUUACAACUUCAGCUAAAACUAAGGUUGUGAAAAUUUGAUCCAACCCACUUGUUCAAUUGGUUAAAUCGAGAAUUAAUCUGUUAUGCAGUUUUUAAUAAUCCUUAAAACAAGAAAAUAAUCAUUAAACAGAUGUAAAACUAGGGUGUUAAAAAAAAAACUGAUUUAGAUUGGAUUAGAUUGUAGCGGAAUUUGAAUUGUUUUUUUUAACUAGUUUAAAAAAAAAGACGGUACUAUCUUAUAAAAUCAAGUUAGUUAACUCGAUUGUUUGUAUAAGAUCAGUUUCGUUAAUCGAAUUAAUUUUUAUUUAAAUAUUUUUUUAUUUGAAAAAAUAACUCAAAAUUAAUUUGAAAAUCAGUUCAAAAUUAGUUUGUUUGUUAAAAUUAAUUUAAAACUGGUUAAAAAUUAGUUCAGAUAAUAAUUCAUUUUUUAAAAUCAAUUUAAUUUUGUACCCGUUUUUAAAUCAAUUUGUAUAUUUAAAUAUAAAAUUGAACCGAAUAUAAAAUUGAACAGAUUGAAACAGUACACUGAUGCAAGAAAAGUAGAAACUUUGACUAAAGUUAUAAAAAGAGAAGGGGAUUGAAGGAGACAAACGAAACUCCUAUGAUCAAAGGCAAAUUUAUUAAAUAGUGAUUUAAUAUAUUUAAAAAGGUAAAUUUAUUAAAUAAAAUAUUAUAAAAUUUUAAUAUGUUAAAUAAAAUAUUAUAAUAAAUAAAUAUACUAUGAACAAAGUCAUUAAAGGUAAUGAAAAAUAUAUUUACGUUACUUUAUUAUUGUUUUUAUAUUGAUAAAAAAAUAUAUAUUAUAUAUUGUGUUGUUGAAAUUUAAUAUUACAAUUUUUAUAUCUUGAUUUUUAUAAUUGUAUAUUAUACUAAUUUUUCUUUUUUACUCAAAAUACAAAUCUGUUAUUGUUAAUGAACAUUAUUGUAUUUUAUUAAAAACUUAAAUAUUAUGGUAUGUUUUAUUAGACUUUUAAGUAUAUUUUGAAUGUUAAAGAACUUAUAAAGUUAUGUCAAAUUAUAUUUAUUUAGUAUUAUUGCAUAAACUUUUUAAUUAUUAAUAUUGGUUUAACCACGGUUCAACUAUGGUUGAACCUUUGAAUCAGUGUCUUAAUUGUUUAAUGAUCAAUUUGAUUUUAAAAAUAUUGGUUAAAACAUAAAUCUUAUAACUCAAUUAAAAACUCAAUAUACUCACUUCUAGAGCACAUUAAGGUUGGGAGCAAUUGUUCAAGAUGGACUAGGCUUCAAAUCCAAUUUGCAUAAUUGCCCACCUUAAUAUGUAGAAAUCAUAAAUCUUAGAAUUUGCAUAACAAAGCAUAUCAUAACAAUAGUCAAUUCACCAAUCGUCAUAUGAAGAUUCAAUCAUCAUACACCGUCGUUAGUCAAUCAAUCAUCAUCAUCAUGAUUUAUCCAUCAAACAUCAUCAUCACCUGUCCAUCAAUCAUCGACACCAAAGACAAAUUCAACUCCAUGAAGAUUUCACCUUUGAGCAAUUAACCCCAAAGUACUUCUCUUAACAUAGUCACACGGUAUGAUAUGACCAUUUUGGGAGACUUGAAUUAACCUUGUAAAAGAUAUAUGGUUUUAUCGAAAAUGAAUGAAUGUAGGUAGUGACUUACCUCGAUAAGGCUUGCAAAAACCUUAACCUACCAAAUGAUUAGUGAAUUUUAGCUAUGAUUCAGCCCACUAAUCCAAAAUCAAGUCCAAGAUUCUCCACUAAGUGUGCUUAGAUGUCAUGAGACAUGUAAAGCAUGAAGGACAUGCACAAAGUGUGACUAUAUGAUGUGACAAUGGGGUGUAACAAGAAAAUGCUCACCUCCCCCUCUAAAAUUUAAUUGGAUUGGGCUUCUCCCAACUCAAUUAAAUUUUAUCUCCCAAUACACACAUCAAAUAUUCACUUAAUGCAUGUAAAAUUACAAAACUAUCCCUAAUACAAAAACUAGUCUUGGUGUCCUAAAAUACAAGGGCUGAAAAAUCCUACAUUACUGGAGUACCCUACUUACAUUAUGAAGCUCUAAAUACAAGACCCAAAAAUAAUAAAAUUCUAAUCUAAUAUGUACAAAGAUAAGUGGGCUCAUACUUAGCCUAUGAGCCCAAAAUCUACCCUAAGGCUCAUGAGAACCCUAGGGUCUUCUCUUGCCUUUCUGGUUGAAUCUUCUUCGAGUCUUCUAUCCAAUGCCCUUGGGGGUAGGAUUGCAUCAUUCAUGAUGUAGCUUCAUGUGGAGCUUGUAGGCCUUGGAUCUUCUUCAUCAAUGGAGUCCUUUGCUUCUUAAAGAUCAAUGAUAGCGGAAUGGAGAAGGAAGAAAGAUGAUAGGAGAUGCUACUUCAAGGAGAAGAUGUGUCAAGAACAAGUUCACCACCAUAGGAAGCCAUGGAUAAGAGCCUGACUGUAGGAGAAGAUGAGUGGAGGGAGAAUGAGAGAAAGAGCAUGAAAUUUUAUGCCUCAAAUGAGGUCUGAACUUUAAAGUGUAAUUCCAAAUGAUCAAAGUUGAAAAAUGCACACACAAGACCUCUAUUUAUUGCCUAAGUGUCACACAAAAAUUGGAGGGAAAUUUGAAUUCUAUUCAAAUUUCACUUGAAUUUGAAUUUGAAUUUGUGGAGCCAAAUUUAGAGCCAAAAUUUCACUAAUUAUGAUUAGUGAAUUUUAGAUAUGGUUCAGCCCACUAAUCCAAGAUCAAGUCCAAGAUUCUCCACUAAGUGUGCAUAGGUGUCAUGAGUCAUGUAAAGCAUGAAGGACAUGCACAAAGUGUGACGAUAUGAUGUGGCAAUGGUGUGUAGCAAGCAAAUGCUCACCUCCCCCUGUUGUUCAACCUUCAUUUCCCAAUCUAGGUAGGCCUCAACAUUAUCUUUUCCGUGGAAAUAUGGGAGGCUAAUGUUAACCUCUUGAGGCCUUCUAUCCUUUUCUCUUCUUUGGGAGUAAUGUUUAGUAUGUGACCUAUGGAGCCCUCUAUAAUAGUCACUAAGUUCUUCACUUAAAUUUUUAACAGAGUCAUGACUACUAAAGAAGGCAUAUUUUUCUCUUUUCAUUUCUUUCAUUAUUUUUCUUCUUUCUUCCUCUCUUUCUUUCAUCUUGACUUAUUUCUUCCACUCUUUUUUUCCUUUUUCUUUUUUCUCUUGUUUUUCUUUCCAUAAUUUAAGGGAUCUCAACUCAUCUAAUAUCUUAUACAAGGGGUCCUUAGGAUUAGAACCCUCACCAUUAACACUAGAUGAAGAAUGAAUACUCAUGUUGGUUCCUAAGUUGUGGUUCUUUGUUGUUGGGGGUUUGAAAACAAAAGGUGAUGCAAUCCUAUCCCGCAAAGGCAUUGGGUAGAAGACUCCAAGUAGAUUAGGCUAGAGAUCCAAGGGAAGGCCCUAGGGUUCUCAUGAGCCUUAGGGUAGAUUUCAAGCCCAUGGGCUAAGUAUGAGCCCGCUUAUCUUUGUAAAUAUUAGAAUAGGUUUUUCCUUUGUUUGGGCCUUGUAUUUUGGCCAUUCUAGUAGUAUAGGGUUUUAGCCUUGUAUUUCGGGGCAUUUUGAGUAGUCUUUGUAGUAAGGACUUUUUUUUUGUAUUUUCAUGUUUUUUGUCAUGGGGGUGAGUUUGGCUAUUAUAGGGGGUGUGUAGCUAAGCUCUAGCUUCUCAUCUCAAGGAGGUGAGCUUAGCUAUUAGAGAGGUAUGUGUAGCUAAGCUCUAACUUCUUUAGGAAUCUUCUUAAGGAAGCUCCUCAAGGAGGUGAGCUUAGUUAUGAGAGGGGUGUGUGUAGCUAAGCUCUUGCUUCUCAAGGAAGUUUUCUCAAAGAAGCUUCUCAAGGAAGUUUUCUUAAGAAAGCUUCUCAAGGAAGCUACCUAGUCUAUAAAUAGAAGUAUGUGUAACACUUGUUGUAACUUUGAUGAAUGAGAGUCUUGUGAGACACAACUCAAAGUUCAACUUCUCUCCCUUUUUUUUCCUUCAAUUUCGUGCUCCCCCCUCUCUCUUUCUCUCCCUCUUUCUUUUCCUCCAUUGAAGCACCCUCUCUAAGCUUCUUAUCCAAGGCUCAUCUUGGUGGUGAAGCUCCUUCUUCCAUGGCUUAUUCCUUAGUGGAUGGCGCCUCCUCUCACCUCUUCUCCUUUGUCUUCCGCUGCAUCUCCAUGAUGGAAAAUCACCAUUAAAGGACCUCAUUGAAGCUCAAAGAUCCAGCCUCCAUAGAAGCUCCACAAGCAAGCUUCCAUCAAAAGGUAAAAGAAACUAUGGUUGAAACUAGUCAAAAUAAACACUAAAAGAGGUGUGAAAGAUAAGGUAAAAACUAAUUGGUAAAAGGAAAGCUAUCUAGGCGGUUUGACAAUGGAAGGUAAAGGAAAUUUAAAGCAAGCUAGACGGUUUCCUAUGUGAAGGCUUGGAUGACCCUUUGGAGGUCCCAACUAGCUCUUCACUUAGUCUACAUAGUUUACACUAAGCUAUUACACAAAAAUAGAGGUUUGGGCGAUCUCUUAGAGACUCCCAAUACACCCCUGAGGAAUGUCCAAAUACAAGGAAUUGCAAAAGAAAAAAUAAUUCAGCACUCAAUUGUUCUAUUACAACAAAUUUAACAAAGCAAUCAAGGUCUUCAAAUUGGUCUUCAAUGCUUGUUUGUUUUCUCAAGUGUUUCACUGAAAAUUUGGUGAGGCUUUGGUUGCUUCAAAUCCAAUGGUGCUCCUAAGAUGGUUAACCUCAAAGACUAAAAAAUAUUCCUUCAAGCACCGCACAAUUUCCUCUUCCAAGUUGUAGGCAACACUUAAACACAAAAAAAAAAAAGACAAGCAAGAAACCAAAAGAUGAAACGAAAGCUAAACUAAAAGGAAAUUUAAUGUGACAUUAAUUCAAUGAGAUUCAAGAAAAAAAAAAUAAAGUAAUAGGAAAGCACCACAAGCCAAGGUGGAACACAAAGGAAGUCCUAGAAUGACACUAUAUUAGAUUGAAAAAUUAAAAACAAGACUCAAAGAAAAAUUCUAGUUAUGUCAAUUUAGCAACACAUCUAAAACAUGAACAACUCCAAGGAGUCAAAUAGGCUUGUAAUACAACUCAAAAUAAUGAACUAUGGAAAUACAAGAACAAGUGUAGAUCUAAGAUUUAAUCGGUUUUUUUUUAAAUCUAUUCCAAAUAGAACCAAACCACAAGACAAUGGAGGGGAUACAUGGAGAAUAAGAUGAAGAACAAGGAAUUGAAGUGAAUUGACCAAACAAAAAGAUAGAGGAAGCAAAAGAACAUCACCUAGAUGAAGAUGCUCUUGAUACCACAUGAUGUAGCUCCAUGUGGAGCUUGUAGGCCUUGGAUCUGCUUCAUCAAUGGAGUCCUUUGCUUCUUGAAGAUCAAUGACAGUGGAAUAGAGAAGGAAGAAAUAUGAUUUUCCACUUCAAGGAGAAGAUGAGUCAAGAACAAGCUCACCACCAUAGGAAGUUAUGGAUAAGAGCUUGAAGGUAGGAGAAGAUGAGUGGAGGGAGAAUGAGAGAAGGAACACAAAAUUUUAUCCUCAAAUGAGGUCUGAACUUUGAAGUGUAAUUCUCAAAUGAUCAAAGUUGAAAAAAAUUCACAUACAAGACCUCUAUUUAUAGCCUAAGUGUCACACAAAAAUUUGAGGGAAAUUUGAAUUCUAUUCAAAUUUCACUUGAAUUGGAAUUUGAAUUUGUGGAGCCAAAUUUGGAGCCAAAAUUUCAAUAAUUAUGAUUAGUUAAUUUUAGCUAUGGUUCAGUCCACUAAUCCAAGAUCAAGUCCAAGAUUCUCCACUAAGUGUGCUUAGGUGUCACGAGUCAUGUAAAGCAUAAAGGACAUGCACAAAGUGUGACUAUAUGAUGUGACAAUGGGGUGUAGCAAGCAAAUGCUCUCCUCCCCCUUAGGAUGGUCCAAAACUUAAUUGGAUUGGGUUUCUCCAAUUCAAUUAAAUUUCUCUCCAACACACACACACACACAUCAAAUAGUGCACUUAAUUCAUAUGAAAUUACAAAACUACCCCUAAUACAAAAACUAGUCUAGGUGCCCAAAAAUACAAGGGUUGAAAAAUCCUACAUUACUAGGGUACCCUCCCUAUACUAUGGAGUCCUAAAUACAAGGCCAAAAAUAAUGAAAUCCUAAUCUAAUAUGUACAAAGAUAAGUGGGCUCAUACUUAGCCCAUGGGCCCAAAAAUCUAUCCUAUGGCUCAUGAGAACCCUAGGGUCUUCUCCUACAUCUCUGGCCCAAUCUUCUUGGAGUCUCCUAGCCAUGGCGUUGGUGGGUCCCCUCCUUGGGAGGAUUGCAUCAAGAUUUUUGCAUCUAUCCAUUCUAUAUGCUUAUUCUCGUUAGCCAUCAUAGACAACCUCCCACACUAAGUUGAGAGCCCACCCAAAACCCCCAACUUACGUGCCUACUCAAAACAACAAUAUCUAAACUUGGAUUCCUUGAGGUUUAAGAUUUGAUACCUUUGUAUCCACCUUCUCAAUCAUGGUCAAUCUCAAAUAUCCAAGUUUCACCAUCAACAACAACUCAUCCUAUAUACACUAAAAAUUCACUAAACCUCUUGGGAAGUAGUUCUCAACAUUCUGACAUGCCAUUUAGAGUUAAAACAUAUGAGUGGUACUCAGGAAGAUACCCCACUAGACAAGAACCCCCGGGUCAUUUUAGUAAGGCGGAGUUCUGAAUGGAACUUACCCUCCCAAGUAUACUAUUUUCCAAUAACAACAAAAUCUUCCCGAUGGAUAUAGUUAACUCCUUUUCACACAUAUGGAUGGUUCUCAAAACAAGAUCAUCAUCCACAACAAUCAUACAUCAUCUUUCAUUAUCACUAGAUUUACCUCAUCAAAAUAUUCAUAUCAUUAUCAAGAAAUCAACUAACCCAACUCAAUAGAUUCAUCAAUUAUCAUAAUUAUCUAAUCAUCAAUAUAAUAUUCUCAACAUGACCAAUUAACAAUAAUAAAAUCAUAGACCAAACUAGACACAGUAAAUAUGUAUCACUUUACCAUUAUAACAACUGUAUACUUCACGUUUAUGGUUAUUAAAGAAUUUCAUAAGUUUUGGGUUACUAUCUUCUUCAUUUUCUGUUCUACACCUAUGACCUUCAUUGCUUAUAAAUAUGAUAAAUAAUGAUAUACUAGCUCAAUUAAGUUGAUUCAUGUCUCAUUAGAUAUCUAAGAAGAUUAUUUCCAACUUUUAUGUUUACCCAAUUUACAUGAAACUUUUACUUAUAAUCGACAAUGUGACUUGUCCACUAAUUUAAUCAGUUCUAGAGUUAUACUUAACAAUUUUAAGUGAAAUGAAAGUCAUUAGUUAGCUAACAUUUAGGGCUACAACUUUAAUGAAGAUACUUUUCCAAAAUCAGACUUUAUAACCAACUUUUUACCAUUGUAAUCUAUUACAACUCAUUGUAAUUGAUUAUAAUAGAGCUCUGGUAAACAAAAUAGUCCAUAAACUCUAACUAAUCAAUUACAAACCUAUGUAAUCGAUUACAAUCAGCCUAGAAUCCAGAAUCAACCUCUGGAGCUCAUUUUAAUCAAUUACUACAUGAUAUAAUCAGUUACAAUGGUUUAAAACUGCAAAAAGUUAUGAUUUUUAAGCCAUAACAUAAUUUUUCAUCAAAACAAAAUCAUUCCUUUCCAUCCAAAAUAUUUAACAAGGUGUGUUUAUGAGGUUGGUUUAGAUUAUGCAGGAAUUUUGGGAAGUUUUACAACUCUUCCUUCUCUUUGCACCCUACAACUCACUAAACUCACCCACCCCAUUCCCAUCACUCAAUGUCACUCACCUAGGCCCAAAUCCUCUAAGCACCAACUAAUCAAAGAUGGAACAUCGUUUAAGCAUAAACAUAAAUAUAUAUAGACACCACAAACCAUCACCUUAUAAUUAAUUAAUUAUAGACACUUAAAUUAAAUUUAAUUAUUAUUGCAAUCCAAUUAAAACAAUUAAUCAAACAUUAUAAAAAUUGCAAUGCUACAUGAUUCCUAUAAUAUACUUGUGAACAAUAAAGUACACCUUGGUCCAGAGUAAAGUUAUUCAUUUGUUAAACCAAAAUAAGGUAAUAAUACCUCUGUGAGGUCUUGGGCCUUGUGCUAGGAAAUUUAACCCAUUCUAGACUGUUAUAAAUACAACUAAUGUCAUUGCAUGAGGUAAUCAUUUAUCAUAUGUUGUCACUUUAGUAAAAUUGUUACUAACUUGAGCAAUGAGGUACAUUUGCAAGUACUCACAUGUUCAUGACAUCUCAGUUGUGUUAGAGUAUAAUACUAUCACAAGAAAGGUUAGGAAGACUCUCUAUAAUACUCCUCUACUUCCUUUUGUACACUUCGGAUUUUGGACAACAAGGAAUGCACACUGGUUAGAGAAAUUGUAGAAUUCAAUCAUCGAAUUCAACCAUCCUACCUCAGUCACAACAUGACAACAACAUCAUUAUUUCACACAAUGGGUUACAUAGAUUGCCCAUGAAUGAUGGCCUUUUAGAGUUACUGCUUGCUACCACCAUUUCACACGUCUAGCAAUUAUCUUUGAUACCAAUUUUGUGUAACCAAGGGGGAUUGACACCAAGAAAAUUUUCAACAAUGGACCACGAGCACAUAAGUGAAGUUGACACAACCUUUUAAUCGAGAACCUCCAAAUGAAUAAAAUAUAAAUGAUAAAAUAGAAAAUUUAAAAUAUAAAUGUAAUAUUAAUGAAAUAUUAAUAUUCCAUUAAGACUAUUUUUUUCUAUUUCAAAUAUUAGAAAUUCUAUUAUUAUUAUUAUCAUGUUAUAAGUUAUAAUUGUUAUAAUUAUUUAUAACAAAAAUUCUUUAAAUAUAUAAAUUUUAUUAAGACAUUUGAUUUAUAAGUUUCUUCACUUAUAUGUUGUUCAACUUGUUGAUUCCUAUUUAAUAUAAGACUUUACCUUCACACACUUAUGGUGAUGGAAGUUAUUCUAACUCUAUAUAACUCAGCUUCAAUUUAUGUGUCUAGCUAGCAUCUAUUAUUGAAUAAUGGAGCAAGUAGCAACUUUACAUAAAGGUUAUCAUACCUGUUGGAAGUCGAUGUUCACUCUCAAAUGAUUUGUCUCGAUUAGCCAAAAUCAUGCAGUAGGAAAGGAACUACCUAUGUCAUGGGUCAAAUAUUAUUAGACAAGGGCCUAGAUAGUCAUGUUUAAUAUAAUAGGGAAAUGAAUUGUUUUAAUGUGAGGGAAAUAGUGGGGUCAAUGAGAUUCUGACAUGUAACAUUGAUGAACACUGACAGAGUUAUCUUUCUUAUCUUGUAUUGCGUUUGAGUACAUUAUACUCAAUUUUCAAUAAAUUUCUUCAAAUCGCUUUAUAAUCAUUAUGCUACCUUUACACGCAUUACUGCGUAUACAGUCAAAAUGAUAUGAAUGUUCGGCUAGCCACGUUGUUUUUGAACCUUCCUAAGUUCGACAUGGUUUUCUUCUAUAGAACUUCUAUAUAGUAUACAAAAUAUGUUAGGAAUUUUGGGUCAUUCAUAUAUAUAUAUAUAUAUCACAUAAUUGAAUGAGUUAGGGCCAUUAUUUUAUUAGCCAACAUAUUAAAGUGGUCUAAUCAAUAUAAAAUUAUGGCUAAGGGCAUAUAUGUCAUGAAAGACUAAUUGUGUAGAUACCAUUAGUGAUAUUAUAAUUUGAUGAGGGACCAAAUUAUAAUCAUCAAAUUUGGGGUAAUGGAUGACAAUUACCAAUAUAAGAGGUUAUGGGCCCCAUUUGUAGAGAGAAGUGACGAAACCUACAUUUUUGCUUUCUUUUUUCUCUUUAUCCCCAUCAGAAGAGAAAAUUUAGAGAAGAAAAUAAAGCUCUCUACAUUUUUAAGAUCAUAAAAUAAAUCUUGAUCCUCAUCAACCAUUCAUCACUUCAUUAUGGCUAAUCCAGAUACGCUUCCGCAUUUAGUUUUUAUCAUGAUUUUGAGUAUGAGAACACAAUAGGGUUUUAUUCAUCUUUAUGCAGUCAUUUCUCUCUACAUAGAUAGAAAGCAUGUGGUUAGGAUUCAUGAUUGUCUGUUAGAUUCAAAUUAGGUUGAUUGAUUGAAUCCCUACAAUUGGUAUCAGAGCCACCCAUACUUGAUUCAUGUAUGAUUUUGGAAAUUUUAUUUAUUCAGGCUACUGACAUAUUCUAAAUUUUAAAUGAAUUUAGAUAUUUUACAUAUUUUUGCUUGAUCUUACCAACAAUAUGUAAAUGCACCGCUCAUUUAAAGGUUACAGUGCAUCAUUUAUAUAUAUACAUAUAACUUUGUGCUCGUUCUUACUUUUAGAGGCCGUUACAGUAAAUUAAAAUAACAAUCAUGGGCUUCUAAAAUUUAAAAUAAAUAAAUAAAGUUAAAAUAAUUUACUCUAGAAAUGUUUUAAUUUUGGAUUUGGUGCAUCAAUGUUCAAAAUUUAGUUAUGGUAUAUCAUUUUAAUUGUUUAGCAUUUAAAUGAGCUAAUUGAAUCAAUAUAUCACCAAAGUGAUCUCUCUUGUGUAGAUAGUUCAUGAGAAAUGUUAACGUGUGUAAUUAUUUAUAUAAAUGGUGAUUGGCCCAAAGGAAAGUUACUAUUUAACUAAUUUAAAUACACACUUGUGAUGUUAAACAUAUUAUAAUUAUGAGGUUUUGCAUGUGAAUGAUAAGUCACAUCAAAAGAUGGGUUUGUUAUUUUAUAUGCUUUUAUUAUCAAUGUUUGAACAUUACAACAAGGAUAUCACUAGCAAUUAAUACCAUUGUCCAAAGACUUGAUAUUAAUGGUGUACUAGAUACCUUGGGAUGGGAUAUACCAUUAUUUAAAUGCAUUGAUGACUGUUAUGUGAGCUUAUUGUAUUAUUUGUUUUGAUCUUUUCAAUUGUUGCUUCUAUAUUUGCUAAUUUGAAUUCGAUUCCGGUUCUUAAUGGUACAAAUUUUAAGGACUAGAAAGAGAACAUGAAAAUUGUACUUGGCUGCAUGGAUCUAGACCUUUCAUUAAGGAUUGAGAAACCCCAUUCUCCUACGGAUUCUAGUACCUCUGCACAGAGGAAACUUCAUGAGAAGUGGGAUCACUCAAAUCGCAUGAGUCUUAUGAUCAUUAAGUGCGGCAUUUCUAAGGUCUUUUAGGGCACUAUUUUAGAUGAUAUAACUAGUGCCAAAAAAUUCCUUGUUGAAAUUGAAAAUUGUUUUGCAAAAAGCAAUGAGGCGGAAAUUAAACAAGUACUCUUCUUCAGAACUUAAUUUCCAUGAAGUAUCAAGGCAAAUGAAAUGUCAGGGAAUACCUUAUGGGAAUGUCAAAUAUUGCUUCAAAAUUAAGGACACUAAAGCUUGAGCUUUUAGAAGACUUGCUUCUUCAUUUAGUGCUAAUUUCUCUACCUUCACAAUUUAGUCAGUUUAAGAUCUCUUAUAGCUGUCAGAAGGUCUCUUAAUGAGCUCAUUUCAUACUGUGUGCAAGAAGAGGAAAGACUGAAGCAAGAAAGGACUAAAAGUGCUCAUGUUGUAAGUACUUCUAAAGACAAGGGCCAAAGAAAAAGGACUGAGGAGCCCAAGAAUGAAACUACCAAGGGUCCAACACAAAAGAAACAAAAUCAAGGUGACAACUGUUUCUUUUGUAGUAAGCCUAGACAUGUAAAGAAGAAAUGUACCAAAUAUCAUUCUUGGUGUGCAAAGAAGGAUAUGUUUCUUACUUUGGUCUAUUUUGAGGUCAAUUUAGCUUCAAUACCUAGAAACACUUGGUGGUUAGAUUCUGGUGCCACUACUAACAUCAAUGUUUCGAUGAAGGGUUGCCUAAGCUACUGGAAGCCAAUUGAUUCUGAAAGAUAGAUAUAUGUUGGAAAUGGUAAAUCGAUAGAGGUGGAAGCUAUAAGGCACUUUAUUAUUAUUAUGUACUGGUUUUUAUUUGGAUUUGAAAGACACUUUUGUUGUACCGUUAUUUAGAUGAAAUUUGGUUUCAGUUUCUUAUUUGGACAAAUUAGGUUAUUUGUGUUCAUCUGGAAACAAAGUGUUUAGGUUGUAUUUUAAUUCAAAUAUUGUUGGAGCUGGUUCACUCUUGGCUUAUGAUAAUCUAUAUUUACUUGAUAUUGUAGCUUCCUAUGGUGAAUCCUUUAAUGUGGAAUUGCGUGAUACAAAGCGUAGAAUUGAUAAUACAAGAGCAUUAUAGCAUAAGCGCUUAGGUCACAUUUCUAAGAAUAGAAUUGAACGACUUCUGUCAAACAUAAUCUUGGAUUCCAUUGAUUUCACAAGCUUUGAUGUUUGUGUUGAAUGCAUUAAAGUUAAAUAGACCAAAAGCAAGAAAUUAGGUGCAUAUAGAGAUACAAACGCCUUGGAAUUGAUGCAUACAGACAUUUGUGGGCCAUUUCAUACACCUUUAUGGAAUGGUCAACAAUAUUUUAUAUCAUUCAUAAACGAUUACUCCAGAUAUGCAUACAUGUUUCUUAUACAUGAAAAGUCACAAUCUCUGGAUGUGUUCAAAACAUUUAAUGUUGAAGUUGAAAAUCAUCUCAACAAAAGAAUUAAGAGUGUUAGAUCUGACUGUGGUGGUGAAUACUAUGGUAGAUAUGACGGUUCAGGUGAACAACAUUCGGGGCCUUUUGCUAGGCACCUAGAGGAAUGUGGAAUCAUUCCAUAGUACACCAUUCCAGGGUCACCUAGCGUGAAUGAUGUGGCUAAAAGAUGAAAUAGAACUCUUAAGGAUAUGGUAAGAAGUAUAAUUUGUCAUUCUAACUUACCAGAGUCACUCUGGGGAGAGACACUAAAGAUUGUAGCUUACAUUCUAAAUAGAGUGUCAACCAAGGCAGCUACUAAAACACCUUGUCAGCUUUGGGUUGGGUGAAAGCCUAGUCUGAAACAUUUUCAUGUAUGGGGAUGUCUAGCCGAGGCAAGACCUUAUAAGCCAAAUGAAAGGAAAUUGGACUCCCGAACAGUAAGCAACUACUUUAUUGGCUAUUCUAAAAGAUCCAGGGGCUAUAAAUUUUAUGAUACCAAAUUAAAGAUAAUUUGUUAUCGUUCAUGAAGAACAAACUCAAGAUCCUCAAGAACCUAUGCUUCAUGAGCUAGUACCUUUGCAGGGAUCUACAUGAGAAAGGAGAAGUGCCAUUCUAGAUGAUUAUGCGGUAUUUCUCCAGGAACAUGAGGAAAAUAAUGGAAUGAUGGAAGAUGGCCCAGUCAAUUUCCAUCAAGCCAUGCAAGAUUCCAACUCAUAAAAGUGGAUUGAAUGAAUGAGGAGAAUAAGUCGAUGCAAGACUACAAGGUUUGGGAACUUGUCCCAUUACCAGAAGGUGUGAAACCCAUUGGUUGCAAAUGGAUGUUUAAGAUCAAACAGGAUUCCAAAGGUAAUGUGGAGAGGUAUAAGGCUCGUCUUGUGGUGAAGGGCUAUACUCAAAAGGAAGGGAUUGACUUUAAAGAGACUUUCUCUCCAGUUUCAUCGAAAAAAAAUUUUAGGACAAUCAUGGAUCUUGUUGCACAUUAUGAUUUGGAGUUUCAUCAAAUGGAUGUUAAGAUGACAUUUCUCAGUGGCAACAUUGAUGAGACAAUUUAUAUGGGGCAACCAGAAAACUUUGUGUCAGGAGACCCAAAGAAUAUGGUUUGCAAACUGACAAAAUCCAUUUAUGAGCUAAAACAUGCAUCUGGUCAAUGGUACCACAAAUUUCAUCAAGUAAUUCUCUCAUUUGGUUUCGAGAUGAAUCUUGUUGAUGAUUGUGUGUAUCACAAAUUCAGUGGGAGCAAGUAUAUUUUCUUGGUCUUAUAUGUUGAUGACAUACUGCUUGCCACUAAUGAUAUAUGCAUGUUGCACAAAACCAAGACAUUUAUAUAAAAAAACUUUGAAAUGAAAGAUCUUGGUGACGCCUGCUUUGUAUUAGGAAUUUAGAUACAUCGAGAUCGAUCUCGGGGUAUUCUAGGAUUAUCACAAAUAAGCUAUAUCGAAAAGGUACUUAAAAGGUUUAGCAUGCUGGAAUGUAAAUUCGGGGAUACUCCAGUUGCUAAGGGAGACAAGUUUAGUCUCAAACAGUGCACAAAAGAAAAAUUGGAAAUUCAGGAAAUGCAAAAGAUUCCCUAUGCAUCAGUUGUAGGGAGUUUGAUGUAUGCCCAAGUAUGUACGUGUCCGGAUAUAACAUACAUAGUUGGGGUAUUAGGCAGAUAUUUAAGCAAUCCAGGAAUAGAUCAUUGGAAAGCAGCCAAAAGAGUUAUGAGGUAUUUGAAGAGAACAAAGUAUUAUAUGCUCACAUACAAGAGGUCAGAUCAGUUGAAGAUCACUAGGUAUUCUGACUUGGAUUUUACAGGAUGCCUAGAUAGUUUGAGAUCCACUUUGGGUUACUUUUUCAUGUUAGUCGAUGGUGCGGUUUCUUGGCGUAGUGCCAAGCAAACCCUUAGUACUUCAUCCACUAUGGUGGCAGAAUUUGUGGCAUGCUAUGAGGCAUCAAAUCAUGGAAUAUGGUUGAGAAAUUUUGUCACAAGGCUGCAAAUUGUGGAAGGAAUUGAAAGACCACUUAAGUUAUAUUAUGACAACAAAUAAGUUGUAUUGUAUUCUAACAAUAAUAGGAGCUCAACCAAGUCGAAACAUAUUGACAUCAAGUUCCUAGUUGUUAAGGAAAGGGUAUAGAGUGAACAAAUUUCCAUAGAACACUUAGGGACAAACUUCAUGAUAGCAGAUCCUCUUACUAAGGGACUUCCACCCAAGGUCUUUCAUGAGCAUGUUGAUCACAUAGGUGUUUUACAGUUCGAGGAAUCUUUGGUUUAGUGGGAGUUAGUCACUUUUAUGUUAUAUGUUAGAUUUUAUGUAUGCAUACAUUAACUUUUGGAUAUAUUUGGUUAUAUAUAUGUUUUAUUAUUCAGUUAUUACACUUUGUACAUUAAGGUUAUUAAAUGAUCUCAUUAAGGCAAAGUAGGACCAGUUGAAAAUAGAUGUGUACAGGUCACCUUCACGUAAUUUUCAUGCUACACAUUUCAUGAUGAGUCUAUGUCAUUUGAUUCUGUCAGCAUUAGUGAUCAUUGAUGAAUUUAGUUGUGAUUGAUACAAUGAAAACUACUUUGGUUCUAUGUGCGGAUAUAAUAAAUGUACAAGAUUUUUGAAAUAUGCUCAAGGCAUGUAAUGACAAAUUUUAAGCUCUUAAAGUCUAACACAUUCAUAAGGAUUCUAAGGAUACACGCACACACACACACACACACACCCAUUAAAGUGGUCUAAUCAAUAUAAAAUUAUAGCUAAAGACAUAUGUGUCAUGAAAGACUAAUUGUGUAGAUACCAUUAGUGAUAUUAUAAUUUGAUGAGGGGUCAAUCUUGAUCCUCAUCAACCAUUCAUCACUCCAUUAUGGCUAAUCUAGGUACGCUUCCGCAUUUAAUUUUCAUCAUGAUUUUGAGUAUGGAAACAUAAUGGGAUUUUAUUAAUCUUUAUGCAGUAAUUUCUCUCUACAUGGAUAAAAAACAUGUGGUUAGGAUUGAUGAUUGUCUGUUAAAAUCAAAUUAAGUUGAUUGAUUGAAUCCCUACAAAAUAAUCUUGCACGAAAAUAUGACGUGCCUCCUUUAAAGAAUAACACAAAAGAUGAUGAUACUUGGACAACUCAUUGUAUUGAACACUUGACGCAUGAUUUCGAAUCUCACUGCUGAAGAUCUUGUUAACGAAUAAUAUAUAAGUAUAUCUAUAAAUGUUUAUUGAGUCUUGAGGUAUGUCGUAAUUGUAAUGAGUCUUUGAGAUUCAACUUACCUAAAUUUAUUCUACAAAAAAUAAAAUAAAAACAGUACAUUACCUUUCAUUUUAUUUACCUUUCUUCAUAUUUAAUGGUAUCACCUAUAAUAUGCAUACUUUUCAAUCUUUUUUAUUUUGUCUCUCUUUAAGUGUUACCUAGCAUUUUGGGUGUUCAUCAAUAUUGUCUCCACGCAUAUUCUUACGUUGUGUUUGAUGGAAACAAGUUACUAAAUAAUAACUAAUGAGAUACAUUCAUAUCUUUCGUAGUAUCAACUUGUGUCAUCCAGCAUUCCUCUUCUCCAAAUCACCCAAAAAGAAAAGCAACAACUAAUUUGGAAGGCUCAUUCAAUGGAGACUAGAGUCUAGAGCAUCCAUUAUCACAGCAACAAUGACGGUGUUAAACUAUAUUGACCUCUUUAAACGUACGUUCAAGAUGCAACCACCCAGAUAAUAAUCCCUAAACCAAAAACUAUUAUAAAUAAAGGGAAUAUGGAACAAGAGUAUCUCAAGCCUGCAGAUAUUUCCCUUUUGAGCUUUGAUUAGUGUGGCCUAGUUGUUGUUUUCUCAUGAAAAAGGCUUCCGCUAUGCAUUGCGCACUUUUGCGCUUCUGGGUUCCCUUGUUGCUGCUUGCCAGCUUCAGUUUUGCUCCUUCUGUUUUGGCCAAAGCUGAAAUUUCAGGUUUGUGCAUGGCUCAUGCUAUACUGACACACAUUUUUUUUUGUUAGGCUUUUAUUUUAGAAAAUAUGCAGUAUGUUUCUUUGUGUCUAUUCUUAUUAAGUUUUAUUCAUUUUAAUAAUUACGUUUAAAAGAAAAAGUAGAAUUUGUAAUUAUAUGGACUAAUUUCAAAUUUCAAAAGGUGACGUACGAAGAUUGGAUCCAUACUUGACAUGCAUAUAAUUAGGGCAUUCCUCGUGGCAUGUGAGAUGAAAAACUAUUCAUGAACUGUAUGUACGUCGGUAUAGCCUAUGUUUUAAUGAAAAUAAAAUGGUACUUUUAGUUGUUCUCUUACUGAUAUUAUUGUAUUCCGAAUUCAAUUCAAUUAUUUAUCUUGGCAUACAGUAUAUGCGUGAAAUUCAAUUAUUACAUUUCAUAUAGGGACUAGUAAGGACCACAUGAUUUUAGACUGUACAACAAUUUGAACCACUAAGAUGACGGUUGGAGUAAUAUGCACGAAGUUAGAGAUUUUUAUUUUUUGAAAAGGUGAGUUAAGGAAUGACAAAAUGAUAGGACAUUUCAACAAUGUUAACAUUUCCUAUCCCAAUCAUAACAAGCACACCUAAAAUUUAUAUUAAUUAAUAUCCACAAAAGAAGAAAAAACAUGAAAGCAUGAGGGACAACAACCAAAACCCAUACCAAAAAAAAUACAUCAAGUAAACAUAUAGUAAGGGUCCGUUGCAAGUUACAGAUUUAAACUUGUGCAACUGUUGUAAAAAAAAUAAAAUACUACACAAUAAUUUUCCAACUAGCUAGUUAAGGUCCUUUGCAAGUAGCAUAAUUAUAUGGUCUAACUAUGAUUGGCAAUGCAUUUUUCAUUUUAGUUUUGCAUAUAUAUAUAUAUAUAUAUAUAUAUAAAUAAAAAUUCAAUUAUUUGCAAUGCAUUGACAAAAUAUUUCAAAUUUUAUAUUUAUUACAAAUAUAUUAUUGUGUUUAACUUAUAUACUUUUUGCUUUUCUUUGUAGGGAAUGAAGUGAACACACAUGGGAAGGUUGUAAGUGAAGAGUUAACCAAAUCCAGUCUAAAAGAACAAAAUGAAGAGGAAAAAUUCAAAGGAUUCUUUCCAAAACCAAUUCCAAUUAUUAAACCUAUUUCAAAGCCCAUUCCCAUUAUUAAACCUAUUCCAAAGUCAAUUCCUAUUGUUAAACCUAUUCCUAUUCCAGUUUAUAAGCCUAUAUCAAAACCAAUUCCCAUCGUUAAGCCUAUUCCGAAGCCAUUUCUGAUUGUUAAACCAAUUCCUAAUGACGAAGAAAAAUUCAAAGGUGUUUUUCCAAAACCUAUUCCCAUAGUUAAGCCAAUUCCAAAGCCAAUUCCCAUUGUUAAGCCUAUCCCUAUUCCAAUAUAUAAGCCUAUACCAAAAUCAGUUCCCAUUGUGAAACCAAUUCCUAUUAUUAAACCAAUACUAAAGCCAAAUCCCAUUGUUAAGCCAAUUCCAAAGCUGAUUCCCAUUGUUAAGCCUAUACCAAACCCAUUAAGAGUGAAAAAGUCUAUCCCUGCUUUUGGGUCAGAGGAAUUUUUAAAACCAAAACCUUUCUUUGAAAAGCCUAUUCCUAAACUACCACUUGAUCCUAAAUUCAAGAAACCUCUUCUACCACCAUUGCCAAUUCACAAGCCAAUUCCAACCCCAUAAAAUGAUAACACUCUACGCCAUAAAGCUAUAAGGAUAUUCCUUCCGUUUCUAAUGCCUUUAUAUAUAUAAAUGCACCGCAUUAAUUUCAACCUGAAUCAUGAUUUCGAUAAUCCUUUCGUACCCCUCUUGUGUACUGGAUUGGAAUAUAUAUGUACUUGAUGUUUUCUAUGUAAUGAAGGUCUCAAUAUUAUUAUUUGUAAGAUUAAUUAUAUUAUUAAGAAAUGGUUCGCUUUUUUUGUUUUGUUUAAGUAAAAUGUUUAGUUAUCACUCCAAGAAAUUUCACUAUUAUCGAUAGGAAAAAUCCGCCGGUAUAUAUCACAAAUUUUUUGUCGGUAAUGAAAUUUUAACGACAAAAUACCGACGAACAAAAUCCCAUCAACAAUAACCUUAUAGGAAGCUUUUACUGACAGAUUUUAAUGACAAACUUUUUACCCACGGACUUUACUAACAGAUGUAUAUGUGGGAAAACAUCGACAUAUUUUUUCGUGGGAAAUUAUGACAGAUUUUCGUGGGAAAUUAUUGAUGGCUUUUUCUGUUAAAAAUUACCGACAAUUUUUUUUUGGGAAGUUACUGAUGGAUUUUGCCAUGAAAAGCUAUCAAGGGAGAUUUUUAAGUAAAAAAUUGCUGAUGAAUUUGUCCAUCUAUAACAUAUUUUUUAAUUAAUUAUAUUUUUUGUUUUCAAAUAUAUAUUUAAAUUUUUAUUUUAUAAUUUUAAAAAUAAACUAAAAAAUGAAAAUAAAAUAUAAAUAAAUUAAAUACGUUGAGUUCAACCAAAUCUUGUUCAUUUAUGAUUUUUGCAAUUCAUUGACAAAAUAAGAACAUAUAAAAUUCCUUUGCUUAUGAACAUGGGUAAGUAUUCUAAUAAUAAGCACAAAAUACAAAUUUUGUAAUCCCAGGAGCAAGACUUGUUUUAACUAUCCAAGAAAGCAAGAAUUAAUUAGAUGGAAGACUGCCAUGAUUGAGUUCCACUGGGUGCUGAUGCUAAUAAACUUUUGUAACUUUUUCUACAUAUUUUAUCUAGUUACUCAUAGAUUAUAUUAUAUUACCCACGGAAUAAUCUCUAGGUAAAUUACCUUUGAAAUUAUUCCCCCAGAAAGGUACCAAAUUUUUUGAUUGAUUUUUCGACAGAAUGCUUGUCGAUAAUACUCUUUUGAUGUUACCUAUGACCUUUCAUUUUUACUGGUGGAUUUAUCCAUCAAUAAUGCAAAAUUACUAACGUAUCUUAAUCCAUGGGCAAAUAAAUAGACACAUUCUUUUAGUAGUAUUUCCAUUUUACAUUUUUAAUUAGAAGAUGAUAUUUAAUUGUGUUUAUGUGUAAAGACAUAAAGACCAUUAAAUCAUAUAUCUAUUUUUAUACAAAGGGUAAAUCUUAUCUAUUAAUUCCUAACAUUAAUAGUUAAUAUCAAACUUCCUCCGUUCCAAAUUAAAUGUCGCAUUUUAAAAAAUAAAUUAUGCUAAAAUAAAUGUUAUGUUAACUUUUUAAUAUAAUAUUAUUUUUUUAUUUUUUAUUAAUACAUAUAUCUAAUAAAUGUCAUUUUAGUUUUUUUAAUGUAAUAUAAAUACUGAGAUAAAUUUUCUAAAAUUACAAUUCUCUUUCAUAUAUUUAUUAACUUUUCUUAGUAUGUUAAAAAUAACUUAGGAUGAAAUUUAUUUUAGAACCGACAAAUAAACCACUAAAUUAGGUCCUAUAUGGCUUGGGUGCUUGCAAGUUUUUUUGUUUUUAAACUUUUGAAAAAAGCCUAUAAUGGGAUAAUAUUAAUUGAAAUAAUUUUUAAAUGAAUUUGAAACUAUUUUAAUAUUUAUGCACUGUUACAAUGCCCUAGGCAUUUUGUUAAAAUCUCUGAUGUUAGACUUCAGCAAGUCAUAUGCUAUAUGGCUCUUCACCGUAUUCAUAUAUAUAACGAUUUUGAUUUUACUUAAAAAAAAACACUUUUGGAUCCCUUAUUGGUAAAUACUUACAAAUACAACACAAGCUUCAAUAUGUUCUAGAUUCGUUAAACCUAAAAAACUUUUUACUUUUUUAUCUCUCAAAUUUAAAUAUUUUUUAAGUACUUCAAUAAUUCUGAAAAAUUAUUUUUUAAUCUCUGUAUAAAAAUAAAGAAAUAUCCUUGUGACCCCAAAAUUAAUAGAAGUUUUUUUAUGUUAAGGGAAUAGAAAAAUAUUUUUCGAAAUUGUGAAACUAAAAAAUUAAAUUUAAAUUUGAAGAACCAAAUUGGUUAUAUAUAUAUAUAUAUAUAUAUAUAUAUAUAUAUAUAUAUAUAUUUUGAUGGUUGGCAUAAGGGGUACCAACAACCCAUAUACAAAAAUAUAAUUGUUAAAUACCAAAAUGCUUCCCAUUGGUUAUUAGUUCCUAUUUAGAACACCGAGUUCUCAUUAGGACUAGGUGAUCAACGUAAGUUUAUGCUUUUGAUUACAUGUAGGUCUACCUUUUGAGCUUGUUGCUUCUUGUGUGGGUGCUUUCGAACUGUGAAGACAUCUGUGUCCCAUUCUCCGUUUACUCUUUGCAUCUUUUGGUGCUUCUUCAUGUCAUCUGUAGUUUUUUUUUUAUCGCACUACCCCUUUUGAACAAUCCUUCUGGUCAUGUUUCUGAUAAUACAUAGUUUUUUUAUCUCGUUGCAUCCUGGAAAAUAUGAUUUGUCUUUCAUGCUUUUCAUGUUUCUGAUUAGCUAUAUCCUUGUCCUGCUUCGAUGGGGUAGAUCCUGCAUCUGGAAGGGUAACAUACUUCAAACUAAUGCUUCACGUUUUUCUUCAUACUUCUUAAUCAAGUCAUGUCUAAUAAUCACAUACUCAAGGCAAACCAUCAAUAGCUGAAGUCUAGACAACUUAGAAUCUGCUUUUUAAUAGUUUCUUGAUUAAAACUAUAAUUUUAGGAGGAGUUCUUCUUCAACAGUUAGAACUUGAGGUGUCACACCUCAUUAGUCAACUUCAAAUCAAUUUCUAAACUUAGAGCUUUGGUAGAAGUAGUUAAGUCCUGUUGUACUUUUCUAUUUCUAGGUUGAAGAUUGGUGUUCUCCACAGUAAGAAUGAUCACCUUCUUCUUGGCAUCCUCUAAAUCAUUGGUGAUCUUAAACCUUGGCCACUAAAGCUCGACGUUUUUCCUUGUCACUUGCAACAAAAGAAAGAAUUAUGUUGUGUACUUUUGUUACAUGGAUUGGGUUCCAGGCUAUACUUGAGACCUAAUUUAUAACUGGUCACCUGACUCAAAAUUAUUUCUUCUCGACUCAUAUGUAAGCAAAAAAAGUUAUUUUUAUCUUAGACUUAAAUAUAAGUAAAUUUAAUUAAUCUCACUCCUAUUUAAUGAUAUUAUUUUUAACACUCUUCAAUUAAUUACAACUCAAUUUUUAAAGUUUCUAUUUUACUCACGAUAUUAAGUUCUAGUGAAAAACAUUUUAAAAAUAAUCUUAUUUUUUUAUUUGAGAUAAAUAAAAUUAAAUAAUUUAAAUUAACUUUCUUAAUUAAUGUGAAAGUAGUUAAUUUUGCUUAUAAAGAGAGCAUUAGACUAGCCUAAUGGGCCAAGUGUUGGUUGAGGACAGCUCCUCUACCAAGAGUAUCAUUCCUUUACCUUUAAUACACUUGUAAACAGAAAAGUACACCUUGACCAGAGCAAAGUUACUACAUCAAUACAGGAUAAUAUUACCUUGGAAGACCUUGAGCUUCGUGAGGAAAAUGACCCAUAUCUCAAACUCUAAAUACAACCAACAACGAUGUAUUUAAAAUAAAAAAUGAUUUAUGUAUUAUUACUUUAUUAUAUAUCACGGCUCUAGUAAACUUGCUAUUGACUUAAAGUGUUAAAAGUACCUUUUGGAGGUAUUUACCUCCUACUUGUGGCAUCUCAGCCGCAUUAGAGUGUAGUACCAUUGUUCCUACACUUCAGAUCUUUGUCAACAAGGAACCUGUUGGUUAGAGCAAUUACAGAAUUUGGUCAAACUCAAUUAUCCUAUCUCAUGCACCAUAACAACAACAAUAAACAAUAACAAAAUCUUUAUUCUACUAGACGAGAUCAUCAGUUACAUAGAGUGCACACCGAGCUUAUGAAUGUAAGGCAAAAUAUUAAUUAAGGUUCUGUAUAUGACUCAGCUUCAAUUUAUAUAUGUGUCUAUUUAGCAUCUAUUAUUGAAUAAUGGCGCAAGUAGCAACUUUAUUAUAAAAGGUCAUAGUAGUAUCUGCUGGAGGUUGUUGUUCACUGUCAAAUGACUUAUCUCAAUUCAGGACCGGCUUAAGAUUUAAGCAGCCCAAGGAAGGACUUUAAGCCCCAAAAAAAAGUCCUAAAUUUUUUUUAAUACUAAUAUAUCUAAAAAAAUUAUUGUAAAAUUAUAUUUAAAAAUGAAUUUUAAUAAAAAAAAUUUAAUACUAAUAUACCUCAAAAUAUAAAUUUAUUUUAGGUCUCUCAAGUUCUUGAACCACCCUAUCUCAAUUAGCGAAAAUCAUGCGACAGGAACCUACCUAUGAUGCCUCAAAUAUAAGACAAGGACCUAGUUAGUCAUGUUAACUAUAAUAGGGGAAGGAAUUGUUUUAUUCCGAUGGUGGGGUCAAUAUAUGAGAUUCUUAUAUAUAAAAUGCUGAUGAACAGAGUUAUCUUUCUUAUCUUGUAUUACUCAAUUUUCAAUAAAUUCCUUUUGUUUAUUAAAAAAACAAUUUAACUGUUAUUUUAUAAAUUAUAAUGUUAACUGAUCAACUUUCUUUGCCUCAUUGUGUUUGAAACUUCCUAAGUUCGAACAGUAUUCUCUAAACACCCAAAAUUAAGGAAAAGAAACACCUUAUUACUUGGGAGGUUCAUUUAUUGGACAGAGCAUCCCAUGCAUUAUCAUAGCAACAACAACGGUGUUUAACGCUAUUAACCUCCCUAAACAUAUGACCACGUUCCAACAACUCACAUAAUAAUCCCUAAACCAAAUCUAAAAUUUCGGAGUAUAUUAAAAAAAAGUAAUGGCCAAUAGUACACUUAAUUUACUGUUAGUCCCAAGCUAAGUAUUAUAAAUAAUGGGAGUAUGCAUGAGACGUUAACUCAAGCCUUGAGAUAUUUCCCUUUUGAGGUUUGAUUAGUGUGGCCUAGUUAAUUUGUUUUCUCGAUGAGAAUGAGAAAGCAAUCCACUAUGCAAUGCGCACUUUUUCGCUUCUGGGUUCCCUUGUUACUACUUGCCAGCUUCAGUUAUGCUCCUUCUGUUUUGGCCACAACUGAAAUUUCAGGUUUGUAGCUCGUCUAAUACUGACAUACAAAUAAUUUUGUUAGGCUUUUAAAUAUGAUGUUUUCAAUCCUCAACAAAAAAAAUUAUUCAUUUUAAUAAUUACAAUAUUACAAUUAAAAAACAAUAUAGUUUUUGUAAGAUGUUAAAAGUAUAAUAUAUAAUCUUUAUAACUUAAAAUUGAUUAAUUUUGAAUAUGGGUUAAUUUCAAAAUCAGAGAUAAGAACAUAUAUAUAUAUAUAUAUUAUCUUGUUAUCUAAUAUAUAUAAAAGGCUUAAAUAUAAUUUUGAUUCCCCUAUUCUGUUCACUAUGUAAUCUUAGUCUUUUCAUUUUAAAAUAGAGAUAUUUGAUCUUUUUUGUUAAAAUUUUUUAUAAUUUUAGUCCUUAUAUUUCAAAAAAAAAAAUAUUUGGUCCUUCUAUUUUAGAAAUUUCACAAAUAUGAUGUAUUUUUUCUAUUAAAAAUUUGACAAUUUUGGCAAAAUUUUUAAUUUGAUCUACAUUUUAUUUCUUUAUUUCUUAUAUUAUAAUUAAUUAAAUCAUUUUUAUGAUACGUUAAAUGAAUAUGUUAGGUCUAUGACUCAACUGGAUCAAAAUGAAAGAAAUAAAGCAUAGACAAAAUUAAAAAUUUGACUAAAAUUGAAAAUUUUGAAAAAAUAGGAAGAUCAAAUAUUUUUAUUUUGAAAUAGGAAACUAAAAUCAUAAUUUUUUUUAUAAAAAAAUAGGGACCAAAUAUUGUGAAUUAAGCUAAAUAGAAAGAUCAAAAUUUCCUAUUAAAACAAUCAAAUAACUUAGUAGCUCUUUCAAAUGAAAUAAUUCAAAAGAGAUAUGGAGAUCCGGUCCCUUCAUGAUGUUAAUUUCUUCAACUAGUUAUGGCCAUGUUCUUAACUAGCUUAAAAUAUGUGUGAUUUGCUUGUUAAAACAAUCAAAUAAACUUAGUAGCUCUUUCAAAAAUAUUAUUUGUGUUUAAUUAUAUUUUUGAAUUUCUUAUGUAGGGAAUCAAGUGAACAUGGAUGGGAAGGUUGUAAAUGAAGAGUUAGGAAAACCUAAUCUAAAAGGACAAGAUGAAGAAGAAAAAUUCAAAGGACUUUUUCCAAAACCAAUUCCAAUUGUUAAACCUUUUCCAAAGCUCAUUCCUAUAAUUAAACCUAUUCCAAAGCCAAUUCCGGUUGUUAAACCAAUUCCUAUUCCACUUUAUAAGCCUUUUCCAAAAUCAAUUCCUAUUGUUAAGCCUAUUCCAAAGCCAAUCCCAAAUGGUAAGCCAAUUCCAACUGAAGAAGCAAAAUUCAAAGGUUUUUUUCCAAAACCUAUUCCCAUAGUUAAGCCAAUUCCAGUUGCCAAGCCAAUUCCUAUUGUUAAGCCUUUUCCAAAGCUCAUUCCUAUAAUUAAACCUAUUCCAAAGCCAAUUCCGAUUGUUAAACCAAUUCCUAUUCCAGUUUAUAAGCCUAUUCCAAAAUCAAUUCCUAUUGUUAAGCCUAUUCCAAAUGGUAAGCCAAUUCCAACUGAAGAAGCAAAAUUCAAAGGGUUUUUUCUAAAACCUAUUCCCAUAGUUAAGCCAAUUCCAGUUGCCAAGUCAAUUCCUAUUGUUAAGCCUAUCCCUAUCACAGUAUAUAAGCCUAUUACAAAAUCAUUUCCCACUGUUAAGCCUAUACCAAAGCCAAUUCCCAUUUUAAAGCCAAUUCCAAAGCCAAUUUCCAUUGUUAAGCCUAUAUCAAAACCAUUUAUAGUGC
rnacentral:lncRNA from 1 species